UGAGAACUACAUCAAUGAGCUCAUCAAGAGGAUGAACUAGUCUCUUGUAUCCCGUGAGAAUGCAUUCUAUGUCAGCAUGGUUGUUUUACUCUAGUAAGUUUAUGGAUAAUGAUGGAUAUGCAAUUUUGGUGUUCCAUGGCUCUAAUACAGCAAGACUUCCCACUAGGAAUUGUGUCCUGUUUACGUUUGCAGUUGCAGUUGCUUCUUGGCGAUUGUGUACUCUUUGGACCUUUUAUCUUCCUUUGUAUAUGUUGUGCCGAAUUUUCGAAUUGGCUGAUGUUACCGAGCCAGCAUAUAAGCUCGUGGUUGGUGUCGUUUCGUGGUUGCAGGUGCUCGGAGGACUGGGUCCUUUUAGUGGUUCUGGGACAAAGAAACAGUCAACGUGAAACUAUUUUUUUUUCCGAGAAUCGUCAACGUGAAACUAGAUGUUUGGCCACCCACAUUGCUGGGCUUCACUAGCUGGGCUUCACCGGACCAAUAAUAUGGUUAAGGGCCUGUUUGUUUCAGCUUAUGGGCUGUAAAGCCUUUUCUGUUCGAUAAGUAGAGAUAUUCGAUUAAUUUUAGGUGUACAUUUUGCUAGUUAGUUUUCAUUUAGGAAAAAGUCUACUUUUCUUCCCUAAAUUUUUAUAAAAGUCUGUUUUUUCCUCAAUUCUAAAACAGGACAAACAACAUCGCUCAAUUUUUCAAACCGUAUAUUUUAACCUUCUUAGAGCAGUUUCGAAGGCGGUUUUGCUUGCUACAGUAACGAUGAUUUUGUCUUUUUCUUUUUUAAUUAUUUCAGCUGAAUCAAAAUUUAAUUUUGUUAGACUCCAUAUACCAAAAGAGUACAGUAGUUCGUACUAAUAUACGAGGUGUGUGGGUGCGGCUGCGCUUGGAAAUUUUGGCCAUGUUGACCGACUUUGAACGUGGACUGACUUUGUAUCUGAGCGAGACUGCUCUGACGUAAGUACUGAAGAAUCUCGGGAUCGUCCUCUAUCCACCCUUAUCAUCAUGAAUCGACGGACACCAAACCACAGUGUGUGUGUGAAUGUAGCUUGUGUGAACAUGGUACCAUUUUUUUAGGUUCAGAGUCCAGACACAGCGCAAACAGCAACCUGAACGCUAGAAUGGUUGAACGAAUGCCUACAGAGAUUAUUUUUUAUUUUUAACCCAAAUUCUAAACAUAUAUCAAAUUUGAUCCGGUUUCGAAAAUAUUUUUAAGACUAACUCGUUUGGCCUCGCCAUAAUAAAUGGCGGGGCAAAUGAACUACACCUCACCAUGCAUAGCGGCAGAGUAUAGCUGCCACGUGGCAUGCAACACAAUGGGCUGCUCACGUGUACCCCCUCCUAAAUCAUGGCGAGUUUGACGUACCCCGCCCCCCAACAUGGCGGGGUAUGGCUUCAACAUUGUGCGUCGUCCAGCACGAUCUUGGAGCACUAGGAUUAUUGGACUGAUCAUGAAAGCUUGUGUUAUUCUUCGCAACAUGAUAGUGGAAGAUGAGGGAGAAAUGGCUAAGGAGUCUAUUGAUCUGAAUGCAAUUCCUGGAGAAUCAAUUGUUCUUCCUCCUGAAGUGCAAAAGGCCACAAACAGUAACCCAUGCUUCAAUGAUGUUCGACGUAGAAAUUCUGCUAUCCGUGCUCACUCUAUCCACACUCAACUUAAAGAAGAUUUAAUUGAGCACAUUUGGCAGCGUUUUGGCCAUAGGGCUCCCCACUAGUAUUUUUUUAAAAAAUAAUGUCAUGUAAGAUCUGUCAUGAAUUUCUUUUUUUAUUGGCACUGUUAAUUAUAAUGAGUAAGCUAACUUAUUGCUUGUUUUCUUUUUCCAAGAUCGUUGGUAUGAUGUUGGCAUUUCUAGUAGGCCAUCAUGGAGGUUGACUUUUGGCUUUUGGUGCUUCUUCCUCAACGAUGCAAUUAGCUGUUUAGUUUGCUUUUGUGGCUAGAAAUAAACAUGUAUGGCUGGAGUCAUGGUUAUCAAUUAGUGCACAAUGUAGUACCGUAUGGACAUUCUAUUUUAUUUGCAUGUUUAAAACCUUUGGUUGUACGGGUUGCUUAUCUUGUCAUGUAAUGAAAUAUCUUUAGUCAUGUUCAUCGGUUCAUCAUGUAGUAACAUAUGGAUAUUUUAUUUUAUUGUCGUGUUCAAAAGCUUGUCCAUGUUGUCAUGGUUGCUACUAGUUGGUUAUAUUGAGAUGACAUGUUUCUUCAGAUGAGUGGUUUAGUGUUAUUCUCCACGUAGAGAGGCACAAAAAUAAUGUCCACAGCACAUCUGUUCUCUCUUUGUGCAUGAAAGUACUAAAAAUAACAAAUAGCUAGCACUAUAUAGAUAGUUGUACGGACUGCUAGCUAUUUAAUGCUGAGGUGGAUGGCUCCUAGCUAGCAAUUAGCUAGGACUAUUGCGGAUGACCUUAGGGUGUCCGCAAUGGUGAUGAGUCAGCUAGCUAUUUGAGUGUACAGCUCAGCAUGUAUCCUAUGUGGAGGAGAGAGAGGAUGCAAAAAUAUUCGAGCCGGCGACUCUCUCGUCGCUCAGCUCGCACAGACCACGAUGCGCUGAAUCGCCGGCCUCCUCGCCUUCUACUAGCUCUUGCGCUAUCGAUUUCGCUCAGGCUCAGAUCCGCUGCGCGCGUAGAGCUCCUCCUGCGUCCCGUGGCGCGCGAAUCCUUCUUCUCCCCAUCCGCUGUGGCCUGCACGAAAAUUUCCCCUUUCUCCCACGUCAACUGCGCGCGAAAAUCCUUCCCGAAAUCUAGCUGUUCCCGCCCUCGAUUCUUCCGAUUUAUUUCUGCAGCCCGCGAAACCAAGGCGCAUUGCUCAGCUCAUCCUUCCUCUUCCUAGCUGCUCUCUUUUGGAGCCCGUGAUUAAAGAUCUAAAGUCCAUUCGUAGCUGCUGGUGAUGAGUCGUCGGACCAAGCGAGAGAUGGCUCCACCACCAAAUGAGACUGGAUUUGCUCCACAUGAGACUGGCCGAUUUGCUCCUUCAUCUCAGAUUGGCUCUGCUCCUACUGUGAUUCAAGUGCCUACUCCUCCUGCAGUUCUUGGUGGUGGUUCUGCUAGUACGGGAGGUCAAGCAGGUAAUCGAUUUUAACCUGGUUUCUGUACUUGCCUAGAUACGUAGGUUGGUUGAGCAAAAUCCCUAAGGCCUUGCUAAAAAAAUCAUUGUUCUGUGCACAGUUCUUCUGAUUUAUCUUUGCAAAAUUUCCAUGGCCCAGCCCUAUAUAUGUUCUAUCAUCGUGCUGAAAUGCGCUAUAAUAUUCUUGGCUUAUGGUGCCUAUUGAAUUAUUUUUUUCUUGAUUUGUUGAUAAAGUGUUGCUCUAAACUGAUGGCCAAAUGACAUGCCUUCUCAGCACCAUGGUGGACUGGACCUUCGCCACAAGUGACAUCUUCGUAGUCACAUCCACAAAUUGGUAAGUUUCUUUUUUUUCUCUCUCGCUGCACUAGUUCUCACUUUAUUAUGUUCAGAAACAGUUAGUUCACUAGUUAUAUUAGUUUUAUUAGAAGUAAUAAUAUGGGUUGCUUGAUUUUUUCAGUGGUAUGGAUUACUAUCCACCUGGUGGUUUUACGAGCUUUUUUCAAUCUGGACAACCAUUAUUUCCUCAUGUUUCGGCACCAUGGCCACCAAUGGGAAAGGAACCUCAAUUAGCACCACCAAAAGCUGACUCAGGAAACCAAAAUCCUAAAAAGAAAUCGAAAGGCAAAAACAUCAUCAACUUAGAAGAUGGAAACGAAGGCAGAACUGCAAAGCGCAUUGUAUUUGAUCCAGAUGAGGAUGUGAGGCUGGUAAGUAAAAUUGUAUGACUCACUUUCUUUUUGUAGCUACACAAAUAUAUGAACCUACAACUAAUUAUGCAUCCUAAAUUCAGGCCAGUGCAUGGCUGAUCCACUCAAAUGACCCAGACAAGAAGGUGCAAGGAAAGAUGUGGAGCAUGCUUUUGGCAUUCUGCAAGCUCACUUCAACAUUGUGCGUCGUCCAACACGAUCUUGGAGCACAAGGAUUAUUGGACUGAUCAUGAAAGCUUGUGUUAUUCUUCACAACAUGAUAGUGGAAGAUGAGGGAGAAAUGGCUAAGGAGUCUAUUGAUCUGAAUGCAAUUCCUGGAGAAUCAAUUGUUCUUCCUCCUGAAGUGCAAAAGGCCACAAACAGUAACCCAUGCUUCAAUGAUGUUCGACGUAGAAAUUCUGCUAUCCGUGCUCACUCUAUCCACACUCAACUUAAAGAAGAUUUAAUUGAGCACAUUUGGCAGCGUUUUGGCCAUAGGGCUCCCCACUAGUAUUUUUUUAAAAAAUAAUGUCAUGUAAGAUCUGUCAUGAAUUUCUUUUUUUAUUGGCACUGUUAAUUAUAAUGAGUAAGCUAACUUAUUGCUUGUUUUCUUUUUCCAAGAUCGUUGGUAUGAUGUUGGCAUUUCUAGUAGGCCAUCAUGGAGGUUGACUUUUGGCUUUUGGUGCUUCUUCCUCAACGAUGCAAUUAGCUGUUUAGUUUGCUUUUGUGGCUAGAAAUAAACAUGUAUGGCUGGAGUCAUGGUUAUCAAUUAGUGCACAAUGUAGUACCGUAUGGACAUUCUAUUUUAUUUGCAUGUUUAAAACCUUUGGUUGUACGGGUUGCUUAUCUUGUCAUGUAAUGAAAUAUCUUUAGUCAUGUUCAUCGGUUCAUCAUGUAGUAACAUAUGGAUAUUUUAUUUUAUUGUCGUGUUCAAAAGCUUGUCCAUGUUGUCAUGGUUGCUACUAGUUGGUUAUAUUGAGAUGACAUGUUUCUUCAGAUGAGUGGUUUAGUGUUAUUCUCCACGUAGAGAGGCACAAAAAUAAUGUCCACAGCACAUCUGUUCUCUCUUUGUGCAUGAAAGUACUAAAAAUAACAAAUAGCUAGCACUAUAUAGAUAGUUGUACGGACUGCUAGCUAUUUAGUGCUGAGGUGGAUGGCUCCUAGCUAGCAAUUAGCUAGGACUAUUGCGGAUGACCUUAGGGUGUCCGCAAUGGUGAUGAGUCAGCUAGCUAUUUGAGUGUACAGCUCAACAUGUAUCCUAUGUGGAGGAGAGAGAGGAUGCAAAAAUAUUCGAGCCGGCGACUCUCUCGUCGCUCAGCUCGCACAGACCACGAUGCGCUGAAUCGCCGGCCUCCUCGCCUUCUACUAGCUCUUGCGCUAUCGAUUUCGCUCAGGCUCAGAUCCGCUGCGCGCGUAGAGCUCCUCCUGCGUCCCGUGGCGCGCGAAUCCUUCUUCUCCCCAUCCGCUGUGGCCUGCACGAAAAUUUCCCCUUUCUCCCACGUCAACUGCGCGCGAAAAUCCUUCCCGAAAUCUAGUUGUUCCCGCCCUCGAUUCUUCCGAUUUAUUUCUGCAGCCCGCGAAACCAAGGCGCAUUGCUCAGCUCAUCCUUCCUCUUCCUAGCUGCUCUCUUUUGGAGCCCGUGAUUAAAGAUCUAAAGUCCAUUCGUAGCUGCUGGUGAUGAGUCGUCGGACCAAGUGAGAGAUGGCUCCACCACCAAAUGAGACUGGAUUUGCUCCACAUGAGACUGGCCGAUUUGCUCCUUCAUCUCAGAUUGGCUCUGCUCCUACUGUGAUUCAAGUGCCUACUCCUCCUGCAGUUCUUGGUGGUGGUUCUGCUCACUACAAAAAUUUUGGCUUUGUAUGACAAAAAGAAAUUGUCAUGUGUAGUACAAAUUUGGUCAUAAAAAGAGCAUUACGACGAAAAUGCAGCGUCAUAAGGGUCGUCAUAUAACGACCGUCACAUUAUGUACCUUGUGACGAUACUUAAGUGCACCGUCACUUAUUGUCAAUAUCUUUUGUGACGGUUUCGUUGUUGUGUCACAUGUUAUUACUAUAUACGACGGUGGUUCCUGUCACAUAUUGUUUAGUCAACGCGUCAUAUAAAGUUGUAAUGGGCCGUGGGGGGCUGUUUUGGGUAUGUUUUGUGAUGACUCUGGACCGUCAUAUAUAAGUCUAAAAACCGUCUUAUUUGAGUCCGUAGAUAAUGUGACAUCUUGGUUUUGUCUUGUUUAAUACGGUAACUGUACACUUUUUAUGACGAUUUUAUGGCAUCACAUAUUGUCAAAUAUUUAUUUGACGAAAGUGCCUCCCACAAACAGUGACGACACACUGAGCUCUCAUGUUGGCUGACAUAAUCAUACAAUACAUAGGCAAGCCAACAUACACAACAUUCUCAUCAGAAGUCAUUCACAAUUCUAGCCAACUGCUGGUUCCAUCACAUAUCAUAAGAAGUCAUACACAAUUGUAGCACACUUCUGGUUGCAUCACAUAACAUCACAAGUCAUACACAAAUCUAGCACACUACUGGUUCCAUCAGACUGCUGCAAACAGAUUGCACAUAGUUCCAAGUUUCACAACAGAGGUACAAACAUACAAAGGUUCCAACACAAAGGUUUGAAGCAUGCAAAUAGAUUGGACAUAGUUCUGACAAAGUUCUAACCACACAUUUGUUCUAGCAAGGUAGGAAAACAUGAAGCAAAGGCAUCAUCCUCAGUUUGAGGUAUGCAUCCCUACCUCAAUCUUUUUGAAGUUUCAGGAGAGCUCGUAGCAUCGCAUUGGUCUCUUCAAACUUGCUAUGCAUCCCCUUCACUUCCUCUUGGGUCUCACACAGCAAACUUUUGUUUUCUUCAAGUGCAGCCUGUUGAGCUUGAAGUUGUGCUUGCAACUCUUCUUGCUUCCUAGCAGCUUCCUCUCUUUCAGCUUGGAGUUUUUCCUCAAACUGAGCUUGCAUGCGUGCUUGUGCAGCCAUCGAUGUGGACCGACCAGUCUUGGAAGUUUUUGGGACACCCAUGUUUGGAAGGAAGGUGUUUGAGCGGCUGAUCUAGCUGAGACUAUCAGCAACAAUCUUGGAGGGUGACUUUUGUGCUUCUCCUUCUUCUAGCUCUCUAUCCUUCUCUGCAACCAUUCGUUCCUGCAUAAAAUGAAUGUAAUUAGUAAAAGGCCAUAGAAAGUGUUGAACCAGGCAUUUACUUGAGUGCAGUACAUGUAACUUACAUAUAUUUCAUUUGCAAGUGGAGUGCGACCAUUUCGGGGACUAUUCAUACAUUCCCCAAAGAACUCAACUGCAUCCGGCUCCAUGUUGUUGUACUUAGUCCUCUGAGACAUGUAAAAAAUUUGGGAUAUAAGAUUUGCCUAGUAUUAUUGUUACAUGCCAACUGCAAUACAACAUAGUCAAAACAUGACUCACAGUUUAAGAAAAAAGAAUACACAAGAACAUGCAUCAAUGCUGCCUGGACAGGUUUAGACUCUUAACAUGGCCUAAGCAAACCCAAGUACUAAACAAUUGUACUGCUAUUUUGUGUUAUAGAUGCUUUGAGUAAAAGAAAUGGAGCAUAAGCACCUAUUGUAUAUACCUCACUUAGCACAGGGCACAAAAUAUGAACAUUAAAGCUAAUCUCAGAAAUCAGAUGGCAAUUUUCAGAAUCAGAUACUCAAUCAAAUGCAAAGAUAUAUUGCAAUUAUUCAUUUCAUGACAUAUCACAGCUUUCGUAUUGGCAUAAGUUCAGUAUCUACUGAAACCAAUAGUCAAUAACACUCAUUCACACCAUAGAGAUAUUGAACUUAUUAAUUUCUUGACUUAACAGCUCAUCUCAGAAGUAAUUGCAGCACAUGGUAAGUUUACAUUUCAGUAGCACAUGGUAAUAUACAUACCAGGCUAUAACGAUGGGCUAUAUAGGACCUAGCUCCAGUCCUUUGGUGAAGCUGUACAUUGGCUCGGUUUGCUUUGUUCUUGGCAGAGUUUUCCUACAGCAAAAAUGCAAUACAGAUUUUUCAUUCACAUGCUAUGUUGGCAUUAUAUAUCAGUUUGCAUUGCAUAGUAACAAAAGCAGAAAAUGUAGUUAUUGACCUGAUUCUUUGGGUCACACCAAUACUCUACCAGCUCGGUCCAAUCCUCUUUCUUCACUUUAGGUGGAGGUUGCAUGGCCAACAACUGUUCUUUGGUUAGUGACUCGUCGAAAUACUUCCUUUUCAGGUUAUACCUCAUCUGCCUCACUCCCCUCUUUAUGAUAUCUCUGCAGGCAUCUUUGCUUGGCCCCUCAUUUUUAGUAUCGACAUCCAACCUUGACUAUAGGCACACAAAUGAUUUAUUAGAAACAAUUAUAUCAUAUGGUAGUAGAUUAAUGCUAGAAAUUAUUAUGAGUUCAAUAUUUGUCUCACCGCAACUCUAGCAAGCACUUUUCCUACUUCUGCCUGCCCUGCUUCAUUAUCAUAACUCUUCCAUGAUUUGUAGAUAGGUAGUUUGUCUCUAAGGGCCACACUAGUUUCUGAUGCUAGCUUCGCUGCUUGAAUUGGGACCUCUGGCCUUUUCUUCCCUUCAGCGACGUGGAUAGCCAACCGAUUUCCCCUAUUAAGCAUCUUCUCCAAACCAUGACCCAUGGUUUUCUUGCGGACAUUCUUUUUGGGCGCUACAUUGACAAAUAAUAAUAACAUUGUGUUAAUAUAGGAAUAACAAAUGUACAUAUUAAAUGGACACAACAAUGCUUGUAACAUUUAGUGUUUACCUGGAAUUAAGUCAGCAUCUGGUUCUCCUUCAUUCACAUUACCCUAUGAAGUAGCAGCAUCAAAGUGGUCAGCUGACUCAUUCAAGUCAUUACUUUGCCUAGAACUCCGCGCCCCUGGCGAGGUGUCCGUAUGAGCUGCUUGGGUAACACUAUUUGUGGGAGUAGGUUCCUGAGAUAUAAUGGCAGUGGGUCUAAGAGUACUUUGUUGAGUGUUUGCUCCAAGAGAAGAGAUGGCUGCACUAGGCUGUCUAGGAGUACUAUGUUGAGGGUUUGCAUGAGAAGACAUGGCUGCACUAGCCUUAGUGAAUCUAGGAGGAACAUGGUGAGGGUUUGCACCAGGGGAAGACAUGGCUGCAGUAGCCUUAGUGAAUCUAGGAGGAACAUGGUGAGGGUUUGCACCAGGAGAAGACAUGGCUGCAGUAGCCUUAGUGAAUCUAGGCACUGUGUUUGGAACUGGUGAAGACAUUGCUUGGCUAGUCCUGUUCAUUUCAGUAGGAAUAGUCAUAUGGUUUGUAGUUUCAUUGGUGUUUGUAGUGGUUGUAGUGUUCUGGACCUCUACUUGGGUAAUAGUAGAAAUGGAAUUUCUUUUAGGAUUGGCUUUUGGAGUGGUCUUAGGAGGCAGGGGAUGUCUUGGCUUAGGUGGCGGACGCCCUCCAGGCGAAUGCAUGGCUGCACUUUGCCUUGUAAGUCUGACUGGAGUGCGUGGUGGCUGCUGGUGGGCAGGCGGCAUUGUUCCUGCCUUUUGCUUCUUUUGGUGUGGGCGAGUUCCUGGAACCAUCUGUGUUGCCUAAGAAGAUGAAAAAUGUAGUUGAUUAGUUAUGAAAGAAGUAUAUGUUCUUAGGAGGUACAAUGGAGUACAUGUAUGAAAUAUGCAGGCCAUGACCAUGUGAAUUUGGUUAGCAGUGCAUCUCACCUCAUCAUCAUAAUCAUCGUCAGUGUCAGAUUGGUUUUCAAUUUCAGAGCAUGGAUCAUAAUCAUUGUCAGAAUCUAUAGCCUUCCCUCUGCCCUCUUUCUGUUUUGGUGUAAUAGCAUCUCUAACAGUCUGUGCUAGGACUUGAAUACCCAGAGAUUUAAAAACUUCCUGAACAUGCUUUACAUUCUUGUCCCUUGCCAGCUCAUAGUGGGUUUUUCCCAUUUCUUCUAUUACUUAGUACACAAAAACGUAGAUAGAGCAGAAACUGAUUCCAGUUUCUGUAAAAGAGUUGAAGAAACAACUAACAAAUCAGUAUUUUGGUUAGUACACACAUUUCAUACACUCAUUUAAAAAAGCAGUGGGCUAUACACCGCUAGACAAUGAAGAAACUACAAACAACUAAUAUAUGUAUUUGUCAGUUACCAACUUGUUCUUCAUCAUAAGCAGUAAAUUUUUUAUAUGUAUUUGUCAGUUAGCAACUUAGCAGUAAAUCAUCAUAAGCACAAACUAUUUUGUUCUUCAUCUAACUGACAAGUCAUCUAACUAACAGCUUAUACACAUGUAAAAAAUCGACAGUUAGCAAAGAUCCACAUCUACAUUUGUCAGAAGAAGGAAGGGAAAUAGAAGGUACCUAAUUGAAGCCGUCGUCAGCACUAGAAGAAGGGGGGCAGCGGGCAUGCGUCUGUCGACGAGGUAGCCGGUGAGGCAGCCUUGGUGGUGACCGGUGAGGUAGCGUGGGUGCUGACCUGUGGGGCCGCCUGGGUGGCGGCCGGUGAAGCUACCUUCGUCGCGGCCGGCACGGAUCCGGUGAAGCUGCCUUCGUCGCGGCCGGCACGGAUCUGCCUUCGUAGCGUGGGUGCUACCUGGGUGGUGGCCGGUGAAGCUGCCUUCUUCGGCGACGGGGUUGUGGUGGGUGUGCCGGCGGGGGUUCUUCGGCGGUGCGGCAGCGUCGAGGGCACGAGUGGUGGAGCUAGGUGUAGGGGAGGGAGGAGGAGGCCAUGGCCGCUUUGCGUGAUGGGCUCAUCUGUGGCGGCGUGGUGGGCACGAGUGGCGAAGCUAGGUUGAGGGGAGGGAGGAGGAGGCCAUGGCAGGUCUUGGGGAUGAACAGAUCCAUUCAGCAGCGGUGGUGCGGCGGCGUGGUCUGCUGGAGUGGUGGCGUGGUCGGCGCGAGUGGCGGCGCUAGGUCGUGGGGAGGGAGAGGACUGACGGAGAGGACUUGGGUGAAAUGUGAGGAGCCGAGAGGAUAAGGUAGGAGGGGAAUUUUGGUCGUCUUGGGCGGGAGGCGCAUUGGGGCCCAGGUGUCGGUGGCAUAGCGUGCGCGCGGAACGAGAAGGUGAUGGCGUCUAAUUUUGGGACCUGACAGGCUGGGGCCAUAUGUCAGUGAGAGAAUUCGUACUAUUUUGAGUUUAAACACAGUUUUAGGGUACUAUAUGAUAUCAAAUGGAAAAACAGUAAGAAGUGAAGUUGUUACACUAAUUGAGAUCUACUAUUUUGGUAUUGGUCAUUUUGUCAAUUGACUUUUUUAAAAAGAUUGAAUUUUGAAUUUGAAAAUAUUCAAACUUUAGGCACAAAUAUGUGGUACUUAGUAAGUUCAAAUGAAAAAGUCAAUAACAUAGAAGUUGUUUCACUCAGUGAUAUCUAUAUUUUGUAUAUAGGUCAUUUUUUCAUCCCAUGAAGUGAUGGUAACUUCCUUCUCUAAUCAUACUCAUCUCCAUGAUAGUUUAUGAAACUAUGAGUGAGAUGAGUAAGAUUUGAGAACAAACUAGCCAUCAACUCAUCGUAUGAAAAAAUGAUCUAUAUAAAGAAUGUAGAUCUUGAUUAGUUGUACAAACUUUGUAUUAAUGACCUUUUGGGUUGAACCCAUUUUGAGGUUCAAAAUGAGCUUCAAAGUUGCAAUUUUUUGGUUGAAUCCAUUUUGAGUUGUUCAAAUUUUGUCACAUUGAAAUACAACAAAAAUAAAUGGAAUAGGCUGAUAAAUCAGAAUUUAAGAAAAAAUUAGAAAAAAAAAGCAUCAGAUUCGGAGAAAGUAUGUGGGAGGAAAACUUGUUACAAUAUUUUCACAUGAAUUAAAAAGAGAAAUGAUGAUUGAAUGAUGAACUUGCUGAAUAGUACAGUAUGUAGGGCCCACAUGUCAUAGACCAAGGGCCCACAUGUCAUUGCCAAUCGGUACCCAGCCUAGUCUGUAUAUGUGGACAGCGCUGAACUUAAAAAAAUGCACACCCUCUCAGUUAGCCGACCAACCCCCCCAGCUCGUCGUGCUCCCAGCGUCGGCGGCUAGAUCCACAACGACGGCGACCCCACCCAGGCCGACGGUGACCCAGGCAGGCCCACCCCACCCAGGCCGGCGGUGACCCAAGCCUACAGAAGGAGUGACGCCGGCCACAACGCUACUGCCGGCGGCCACACAGCGCCGCUGCCUCCACACCGCCAGUGGCCUCCUGCCCCUCCUUCCUCACCAUGCACGCCUCUGGCCCAAGCUGAAGCCUUUGUGGCCACACUGCGCCGCUGCCUCCGGCCACACAGCACUACUCCUGCCCCUCCUUACCGGUAAGCAAGCUGAGGUGUAGGAGGAUAUACAAGUGUUUUGUCGAUUUCUAUCUAUCCAUGACGAUUUGUAAAAAUUUGUCACAUAUAUAUGUGCAGGAUGAGAUGGACAGAAGCUGGGUAUACAACAGUGUGCCAUUUAGUGAAAGAUUUAUGCUUGGUGUUGAACAAUUCAUGGGACAUGUCAAAAGUAGAUUUAGUGUAGAUGAGAAAAUCAAGUGUCCAUGUAGAAAAUGCCUGAACCAAAUAGAAAAAAGUCAAGAUGAGGUGCAGGAGGAUAUUGAAAUCAAUGGUAUUUCCAGGUGCUAUACAAAGUAGGUUUACCAUGGAGAGGAGGAUUUUGAUGUUGAAGAAGAUGAUGAUGUCACACUAGAUGUUGAAUAUAUGUCAUGGUAUGGACAGGCUCCACUUGAUGAUGGACAAACUGAAGAUGCCAUAUUAGAUGACAGUGAUCGGGGAGUUCAAGGUUUGAUUCAAGAUCUAUAUACUGCAGCAAGCCAUGGUGUCGGUGGCAACUUAUAUAAGCAAAUCAUGGAAGAGGCAAAGCGUGAACUUUAUCCUGGUUGCACCGAGGAGUCUAGGCUAAGUUUCAUUAUUAAACUGCUGCAUAUAAAAGUGUACAAUCGGAUACCAAAUUCUGGGAUCGAUGCAAUCCUUGAGUUGCUUUCGUCAUCUCUGAAUAAUGUGCCCGGCCUACCUAAGUCCUAUAAUGAACUGAAAGCUCUACUUCGGAAGCUUGGUUUUGGUUAUGAAACUAUUCAUGUGUGCAAGUAUGAUUGUGCCCUAUUUUAGAAAGAUCAUGAAGAGGAUGACCAUUGCCCAGUUUGUGGGUACACAAGAUGGAAAGUGAACAAGGAGGGCAGAAAGAAAGUGCCUCACAAGGUCCUCCGGUAUUUUCCAAUAAUUCCACGCCUCCAAAGGAUUUUUAUCUCCAAACAGCGGGCAGAGUAUGCAAGAUGGCACAAGGAAAAGAGAAAACCGGUUGAGAAUGAAAUGAGACAUCCUGCUGAUGGAGAAGCUUGGAAAGAAUUUGAUGAUUGUUUCAAGUCUUUUGCAGAUGAUCCCCGUAGUUUGAGGUUAGCCAUUGCUACAGAUGGAUUUAACCCAUAUGGUCAGAUGAGCAAUGCAUAUAGCAUCUGGCCAAUUAUAGUGGUUCCAUACAAUUUUCCACCUUGGAUGUGUAUGGACCAAUCCAAUUAUAUGCUUGCUUUGCUGAUUCCAGGGAAAAAAUCACCCGGCAAAGAUUUCCAUGUGUUCAUGCAACCUUUGAUAGAAGACAUGAUGACUAUUUGGAAGGGUGUCUCUACUUUUGAUGCAUAUGAAGGCAAAGAGUUCAGCCUGCGUGCAGCGAUUCUGUGGGGAAUUAAUGACUAUCCUGCAUUAGGCACCAUGUCAGGUAGAACCACUAAGGGUUACUUUGCAUGUGUGCACUGUGAUGAGAAUCCAUUCUCCGAAUGUCUGAAAAACAAAAUUGGAUUCAUAGGACAUAGACGGUUCCUCCCAAGCGACCAUGUUUGGAGGAAAAAUAGAUCUUUCAAUGGCCACCAUGAAAAUAGAGAACCACCAAGGAAAUUUAGUGCAGAUGAGGUUAUGGCAAGGUUGGAUGAAGUUUGCUAUGUUCCUGGCAAAAAUCCAGAUAUGCCGAGAUCAAGAAAACGACGUCGUGAUGGAGAACCAGUAUGGCAUCUAAAGGUUAGCUUGUAUGAUUUGCCAUACUGGUCAAAAUUGAAGCUACAAUACAACCUUGAUGUUAUGCACAUAGAGAAAAACAUAUGUGAAAAUAUUUUGUUUACGCUUCUCAAUAUUCCAAACAAGACAAAAGACACAGUUUCUGCUCUAGUAGAUUUGGAAGAAAGAGGUAUAAGAAAAGAGCUUCAUUUGCUAGAUGACAGUGGUAAUGCAUCCUCCAAGCCAAAAGCUUGUUACGUUCUAACACCAGAAGCAAAGAAGAAGUUCUUGCAAUUUGUGAGCAAUGUUAAGUUUCCAGGUGGCUAUGCCUCCAAUAUAUCAAGGUGUGUCAAUAUGGAGGGAGCAGGUUCAAUACAUGGGCUGAAAACACAUGACUGUCAUAUACUAUUGCAACGUAUUUUACCAGUUGGCCUUCGUGGUUUGGUGAGAAAAGACAUAUAUGAAGUAAUUGCUGAAUUGGGUAGUUUUUUUAGACAACUUUGCUCAAAAACUGUAAAGGUUGAUGCACUAAAAAAGCUGAAGGAAGAUAUUGUGCUUAUCCUUUGCAAGCUAGAGAAAAUUUAUCCACCUGCAUUCUUUGAUGUCAUGGUUCAUCUAGCAGUACACUUACCUGAUGAGGCACUUCUUAGGGGACCGGUGCAGUAUGGAUGGAUGUAUCCCAUUGAGAGAAGAUUGGGCACCUUUAAGCGUUUCGUCCGCAAUAAAGCAAGACCUGAAGGAUCUAUUGCAGAGGCAUACACUGCCUAUGAGUGUAUGACCCAAUGCUCAACAUACUUUAGUGACAUCAUUAAUAGGUUCACUAGGCCUGACAGGAACUUGGAUGGAGACACCUCACUCGAUGGUUUAUCUAUUUUUGGUCAUCGUGUUAACCUGGUGGGUGCUUCAAAAUUUCAAUAUGCAGAAAAAGACUAUGACUCCAUGGUCUGGUUUGUUCUAAAUAACUGUGAAGAGGUUGAUGAAUACAAAGAGUAAGUAAUUGCUCCAAUUCCAUUGCAGCCAACUUUAGUCAAUACUUGUGUCACAAAAAAUUAAUUAUUUUCAUCCUUUUUCAGCAUGUACAGGGCACAAUUACAACAAGAAGAGUUCAAUGAUGUUGAAAAAAUGAUGUCAACACAAUUUGCUGCAUGGUUUGAGAAUCAUGUGUGUGCAACUUCUACAACAUGACUAAAUAACUUAUGAUACACUACAUUCUGAAACUCACUAACUCAAUAUGUUUUCAUCAUGCAGAUUACUAGAUUGAAAUAUGAAGGCACCACACAUGUUGAUGAAGACUUAUACUCACUAGCAUGCCGGCCGGAUCCGAGAGUGCAUUCAUACACAGCGUGUAUAAUCAAUGGGGUACGGUUGCACACUCUGGCUCGUGACGAACACAGGAAGACACAGAACUCCACCAUCAAAAGUGCAGGUACUCAUGGUGAUCACACAAUUGACUUCUAUGGGACAAUCACAGAUAUUAUUGAGUUGAGUUACAGUAACAACAACAAAGGGCGUAGAACUGUUAUCUUAUUACGGUGUGAAUGGUACAAUUUAGAGGGAAGGACAAACCAAAUGAAAGAUGAUGGUUAUUUCAAGAGCAUAAACACCCAAGGCCGUUGGUAUAAAAAUGAUCCUUUCAUUAUAGCCACAGAUGCUACACAAGUAUUUUUCUUGGAGGAUACAAAGUUAGGUCCAUGUUGGAAAGUGGUACAAGAAUUUGGCCACCGACAUUUAUUUGAUGUUCCAGAGACCGGCACAAACCAACCCAUCCAUGAACAAGUUCAGAUGAGAUGUCAAGAGGCAUACCAAGAGGAGCAUAGUGGAUUGAGAGAUGGUGCAGUGGGAGACAUUCAUCCAGACUUGGAUUUGUUGCACUUGGAUAAUGAACCAGGCAGCCCUAUUAGUAGACACCUCGUGGACAACAUCCACCGACAAGACCAUACAACUAAUGGUGAUAACACACAAGGUGAUGAAGAAGAUGAAGAUGACACCUACCUUGAGUACCAUAGUCCAGAAGAAGGCAAUACUUCAGGAGAAGACAGUGAUGAUGAAUAACCUUUGCAUUUCUAGAGACUUUAGAAAUUUUGCUGUUGUGUAUUUCAAUUAUGCUACUACAAUUGUAUCAAAAUUCUGAAUUUGUAUAACAUUAUAUGCAAUGAAUUUGUUUUCAGUGGAUACUAGAUAUAUCAUGCAAGUUACAGUGCCCACAAUCUUUCAUGACAAUGAAAAUGUCAUGAAAUGCCCAGAUUCUUUCAUUGAAUGUAUAUACCCAGAUUCUUUCAUUGAAUGGCAAUCUUUCAUGACAAUGAAAUUGUCAUGGAAUGCCCAGAUGCUGUCAUAAAAAGUAUAUAUUUUGUCACAAAAUGUAUAGGCUGGCAUAAAGAUGCACAGUCUGCAAAAAUUUCAUCCCACACAACUAGAUCAUCAUAAGCAAUUGAUAUCUUCAUUUCCAACAUACAUCACAAACACACAGAUUCCACAAGAGCUUGAAUGCCCUUACUUCCUAGGAAGAACACAUACAUCCACCACAAUGUUCAUUAUAACUUGUUCUUCAAUAGUACAACUUCAACACAAAAGCCAAUACAUCAUCAACAUUGCCUACUUCAGCACAAAAGCUACAACUAAGAAGAUGGCAACCAGCAGGACUAUUGUUACAUUCACACAUCCACACACGAGACAAAUGAAGCAUCCCAUGCCUUCUCUGUUCUUGCUAACCAUUUCUUGCACCUUGUUCAGAUUUUGCUCCAAGCUGUCAAUUUUUUUCACAAGCUCAGGAACCUCGGUUGUCGAACCUGCUGCAAUGGUGGAGGAUGCUGAUGGUAGAUGUCCAUUAUCGUGAAGGUACACCACAUAUUCUUUCUCGAACCAAAACCUAUCACAUGUCCCCUACAUCCAAAUUUGAGCAAAGUCAACCACUGCAAACAAGAAUGAAAUUUGGGCAAUGCAAAUUAAACAACCACUUUACUUACAUUAUUAUAGUUCUUCCUAGGACACUUGAAAAAUCUCUUUCCAACAUUACUCCCGUUCUUGGUAUUAGCAGCAAACACUCUCACAUCCUUGCAAGUUGGGCACACUAUCAACGGCAAUCUAGUCACUUCAUCGAUCGGCGCCUCCAGAUCGACGCCAAUCGGCAAACUGCCUGCAGCAACAAUAGCAAGGGGCCUGGGUUCUACAACAUCUCUAGCUGCGCUUUGGCGCCUACUACGCACAGUUGAUGAUGAGGCCUGCGACAUGAUCCCUGAUUGAUGCACAUGGGAAUGAUUAGCAACUAUGAUGCCAAUAGAAAUAUGUACACGGUUCAAAAAAAUUGAAAUAUGAACAGGGAGGGCAUGAGGGUGCCACUGUCGACCAAAUUAAAGGGGAUGAGGAGGGGCAUGAGGAAGUGGGGAGUAGGAGCACGCCCGCGUACCAACCUGAUUUCGUUGUGGCGGUCACCGGAGAUUCGCGCUCCUUCAGGCGGCCUGCGGGCAGCGCAGCUCGUGUGGCCUCCACCCAGACAACCACGCCCUGACCUAGGGAGAGGGAGAGGCAGCUCCACCUGGAUCCUGCCCAACGCCGGUCGUCCAGAUCCCGCUGCCCCCGCGCGCGCCGCUCGCCGCCCACCGCGCUCGCCGCUCGGGGAGAAGGGGAAAGUGAUUGCGGUCAACUUGAAUGGGGUACGGUCCACCACAGAGAUAUAUUUACGUUCGGGCCAGUCAUUUUUUUAAUAAACAUAAAGUGACGCCGCCAAAUCAUCACAUAAACAUACCUCUAAGCGUCAUAAAAGCAAUAUCGUCUACCGGCUCCUGGCGCCAGGCAAUAUGUGACGAAUUUUCAUACCUUUAUAUGACAAAUAAAGUUGUGUCGUCAUAAAAUUUUCUUGGCCUCACGAAAUUAUGACGACCCUAAAAGUACCGUCAUAUUAUGUGAUAUUAUAUGACGAUAACAGACCUCGUCAUUUCGCAUUUUGUCAUAGAAAGACAAAUUUCUUGUAGUGGCUAGUACGGGAGGUCAAGCAGGUAAUCGAUUUUAACCUGGUUUCUGUACUUGCCUAGAUACGUAGGUUGGUUGAGCAAAAUCCCUAAGGCCUUGCUAAAAAAAUCAUUGUUCUGUGCACAGUUCUUCCGAUUUAUCUUUGCAAAAUUUCCAUGGCCCAGCCCUACAUAUGUUCUAUCAUCGUGCUGAAAUGCGCUAUAAUAUUCUUGGCUUAUGGUGCCUAUUGAAUUAUUUUUUUUCUUGAUUUGUUGAUAAAGUGUUGCUCUAAACUGAUGGCCAAAUGACAUGCCUUCUCAGCACCAUGGUGGACUGGACCUUCGCCACAAGUGACAUCUUGAGUAGUCACAUCCACAAAUUGGUAAGUUUCUUUUUUUUCUCUCUCGCUGCACUAGUUCUCACUUUAUUAUGUUCAGAAACAGUUAGUUCACUAGUUAUAUUAGUUUUAUUAGAAGUAAUAAUAUGGGUUGCUUGAUUUUUUCAGUGGUAUGGAUUACUAUCCACCUGGUGGUUUUACGAGCUUUUUUCAAUCUGGACAACCAUUAUUUCCUCAUGUUUCGGCACCAUGGCCACCAAUGGGAAAGGAACCUCAAUUAGCACCACCAAAAGCUGACUCAGGAAACCAAAAUCCUAAAAAGAAAUCGAAAGGCAAAAACAUCAUCAACUUAGAAGAUGGAAACGAAGGCAGAACUGCAAAGCGCCUUGUAUUUGAUCCAGAUGAGGAUGCGAGGCUGGUAAGUAAAAUUGUAUCACUCACUUUCUUUUUGUAGCUACACAAAUAUAUGAACCUACAACUAAUUAUGUAUCCUAAAUUCAGGCCAGUGCAUGGCUGAUCCACUCAAAUGACCCAGACAAGAAGGUGCAAGGAAAGAUGUGGAGCGUGCUUUUGGCGUUCUGCAAGCUCGCUUCAACAUUGUGCGUCGUCCAGCACGAUCUUGGAGCACAAGGAUUAUUGGACUGAUCAUGAAAGCUUGUGUUAUUCUUCACAACAUGAUAGUGAAAGAUGAGGGAGAAAUGGCUAAGGAGUCUAUUGAUCUGAAUGCAAUUCCUGGAGAAUCAAUUGUUCUUCCUCCUGAAGUGCAAAAGGCCACAAACAGUAACUCAUGCUUCAAUGAUGUUCGACGUAGAAAUUCUGUUAUCCGUGCUCACUCUAUCCACACUCAACUUAAAGAAGAUUUAAUUGAGCACAUUUGGCAGCGUUUUGGCCAUAGGGCUCCCCACUAGUAUUUUUUUAAAAAAUAAUGUCAUGUAAGAUCUGUCAUGAAUUUCUUUUUUUAUUGGCACUGUUAAUUAUAAUGAGUAAGCUAACUUAUUGCUUGUUUUCUUUUUCCAGGAGCGUUGGUAUGAUGUUGGCAUUUCUAGUAGGCCAUCAUGGAGGUUGACUUUUGGCUUUUGGUGCUUCUUCCUCAACGAUGCAAUUAGCUGUUUAGUUUGCUUUUGUGGCUAGAAAUAAACAUGUAUGGCUGGAGUCAUGGUUAUCAAUUAGUGCAUUAUGUAGUACCGUAUGGACAUUCUAUUUUAUUUGCAUGUUUAAAACCUUUGGUUGUACGGGUUGCUUAUCUUGUCAUGUAAUGAAAUGUCUUUAGUCAUGUUCAUCAGUUCAUCAUGUAGUAACAUAUGGAUAUUUUUAUUUUAUUGUCGUGUUCAAAAGCUUGUCCAUGUUGUCAUGGUUGCUACUAGUUGGUUAUAUUGAGAUGACAUGUUUCUUCAGAUGAGUGGUUUAGUGUUAUUCUCCACGUAGAGAGGCACAAAAAUAAUGUCCACAGUACAUCUGUUCUCUCUUUGUGCAUGAAAGUACUAAAAAUAACAAAUAGCUAGCACUAUAUAGAUAGUUGUACGGACUGCUAGCUAUUUAGUGCUGAGGUGGAUGGCUCCUAGCUAGCAAUUAGCUAGGACUAUUGCGGAUGACCUUAGGACAGUUCGGAGUGCUCGAUGAUUAAUUAAACAAACGGCACCGGGUGAUUGAUUUGUCGCCAGACACAUCCAUGCAGACGAGUUUGGCUAGUGUGGCGUGCCAAGGAAACGCUUGUGAUGCUCCCGAUGCACAUGCAAUCUGAAUACAGCCAGCUGCGCGCCCACAUGAAUUUCUUCAGGAUUUAACUCGGUUUACUCACAUUCAACAGCCAAGAAACACACAAAAGAGAGAGGUGGAAGAAACAAGGCGCCGAUAGGACAUCUUAUUGCGACAUUUACCCUUUGGGAUGUUCAUGUCAGUGAGAGAGGACUUUCCCAACUCGCCCAAUACAAAUAGUAAUGUUUAGUUCCCAAAUUCAGAACUGUAGCACUUUCAUUUUUAUUUGACAAACAUUGUCUAAUUAUGAAGUGAGUAGGCUUAAAAUAUUCAUUUCACGAUUUACAGGUAAACUGUGCAAUUAGUUUUUAUUUUUGUCUAUAUUUAGUGCUCCAUGCAUGUGCCGCAAUAUUCGAUGUGACAGAGAAUCUUGAAAAGUUUUUGGUUUUUUGGAUGAACUAAACGAGGCCUAACGCUCACUUUGCUUUGCUCUUGUUUGAAGCCUUGUUUAGUUCCCAAUUUUUUUUGGGUUAAGGUACUGUAGCAUUUUAUUUUUAUUUAACAAAUAUUGUCUAAUUAUGGACUAACUAGACACAAAAGUUUCAUCUCGUGAUUUACAGGCAAACUGUGCAAUUAGUUUUUAUUUUUGUCUAUAUUUAAUACUCCAUGCAUGUGCCGUAAGAUUCGAUGUGAUGGGGAAUCUUGAAAAUUUUUUUAAAUUUUUGAGUGAAAAGUGAUUCCAAAGAGUAAUCGAAACACACAUGGCGGGCUUUUGGUGGGCUGGCCAUACCCUGCCAUGAUGGGGGUGGGGUACGCCUAACCCGUCAUGAUCCAUGGUGAGGUACAAAUCAGCAGCCCCUGGUGCUGCAUGCCACGUGGCAGUUGUACCCCGUCGCCAUGCAUGGUGGAGUAAAGUUCAUUUACCCCACCAUACAUGGUGGCGGGGCCAAAUGGGCUAGUCUUAAAAAUAUUUUCGAAACCGGGUCAAAUUUGAAAUAUGUUUCGAAUUUGGGCUAAAAGUAAAAAAAUCACUACAAAUGAGGGAGCAACUGACUGAUCGCAAGGUCAUUUAUUAUAAUCUCUCAAAAAAAAUGUCAAGAUGCAGGUCAUUUAUUAAGAAAUGCUGGAUUCAUCCAAUUAUGUGAGAUAUCGUGUUCAUGAUUGCACAAGAGAGAAAUUCUCAACUACAGUUGAUAAAAACAAUGGCUCCAGUGUCCAAGCAAAGAGAUUUCGCCACCUAAGUUUGGAUGGUCAGAGUGACAAAAAGUUAGAUACAUAUGUGGAUCUUGCAAGCAUCAGAUCAAUCAUAGUGUCAAACAGAUCCUCAAAAUCAGUUCACUUAUUUGCUCCUCCCAAACAGACCCUCAAAAUCAGUUCACUUAUUUGCUCCUCCCAAAUGAAGACGCUGAGUUCUAGAUUUCUCAAGUUCCAGCUUUCUAAUUACUCAGCAAGACAUGAGGCACAUUGGAGAUCUGUGCCACUUGAGGUACCUAACUCUUUGCAAUCAAGUAUUGGUGAGCUUCCUUCCUCAAUUGGUAUGCUACCAUUCCUUCAAGUGCUAAAUGUGACGAAGACGCAGAUCACAAGCCUCCCUAGUGAGAUCACCCAACUCAAGAGGCUGCGGAUUCUUCGUGCUAGUAGUAAAAAACAAGAUUCAUUUCAUCACAAAAACUAAUAAUGCUCAUAUACAUCAGAGGGUGUAAAAAUACCUAAAGGUAUCAAUAACCUGAAGUCAUCAGAGGGUGUAAAAGUACCUAAAGGUAUCAAUAACCUGAAGGCCAUAGAAGGGUUGGAAGUAGUGGAUGUUGAAGGCAGCUCUUACAUGGCAAUGAAAGCUUUGGGGAAGCUCACUUGGUUGGAGUGCCUGGGAUUGACAGGGUUACAACGAAGGACAAUGCUAUAGAUUCAAUUACCAUAAAAAAGCUCUCACCUUCCUUGGAAUAUUUGUAUCUUGGAGCAUGUCAAAAUAAUGGAACACUCUGCUAUCUUCCCACAGAGAAGGCAUCCCUGGAGCUCCCAUACCUCCACAACAUAAAACUGGAUGGGCUAUUGGAACAGUGCCGGACUGGAUUUUCCGUUCAAUCAUGGUUUCCAUGAUAAAACUGUUCAGGACUAAUCUGAAGCAAGACGAUCUUAAACUCUUGGAGAGAAUGCACAGGAUAGUUCUUAUGCCGGUGAGAAGAUGGUCUUUUAUGCAGGAGGCUUUGAAGGGCUCAAACGGCUGGACCUUGUAGGAUUACCCAACCUUCAGGUGGUGGGAUUUGACGAGAGAACAGCACCCUGGAUUGAAGAGAUAGUCAUCAGAUCAUGUAAAUUUAGACUAUUUGGCAAAAAGAACCUAAAGGAACUCUGGGAUUUUCAUCCUGAUGGUGAUAUCGAAGUGGUGAACUGACAAGGGGAAUGAUGUAGUAUCUGUUGCAAGGUGAUCCCCAGUUGAAGCCUUCAAAUAAUUAGAUUGGAUCAUUACCACAGUGGUGCGCCUGUCAUUGGCUAAAGGAGGGAGCAUUCUGAACUCUAAAGGGGACGUUUCUUGACGACAAGAUGGUUGUUCAAGCUAAACGUCCAACUUCCAACAAUAUUAAUGUGUUGUAUUGCAUAAUUCGAUCUAGAUAAUUAGUAGGGUGGUCCGUGCUAAUAGCACGGGUAGGCAGCUUGUUUUCAUUGUAACAACUAUGGUUUUUUACCUUUCUAAAUUAUUGUAAUUUCUCUCCAUGCAUGCGCAAACUCAGAUCAAUUUCUUGCCUUGAAGCUAUUAUUGCCUCCUUGUUUUGUUCUUUUUUUCCUCUACAAUUCUGUGGCCGUCAAUGUCAUCUCUGCUAGAGCAACUGCUAUCCUCAUGCCGUAUGUUUCACAGUUUCUCUAACAAACGAUAAGGACCCACUUAUAUAGGUUAAUCCACCUAAAUCUAGUAUCAUUCUCUCAUCUGGCUCAGUUGAAGUCAAUUAACCCCGGCAAUUCCUAGGGAUGCACCUAAGACAUUCCGAUCUAGCAGAAAAUAUAUGAUCUGGAUGCAUUGUGGAUGUGUUACACUUACACAUAAUAGAUCUAGUGGUAACAGUACUACAGAUUGGCUCAGGCGGGGUUGUCUGGUUCACUCUACAUGUAUUGGCGCAAAUGUCAAGCCAACAUCGAUACAAAUUAGGGGACUUUUGACGGUGUAUUGAUUGCAAAUAGCUGAACAAGAGAGGCUUUUACAAAAAAAGAAACCACACUGUUUUGCAAAGAUGGCAUGCAACAGUUCCAUAUUGCCACGCGACCAAGCUCAGUUCCUUCUGAGCUUUCUAGUUGUUUUUUCUGGUUGUUAUGGGGUUAUAUAAGUGCAAACUCUGUUACAUGACGUUGUUAGCGCAUGAUGCCAUUUGCAACUGGUCUCUCUCUUCUUCUCUAACUCCGGUGGGUUUAGAAAGGGGUUUGGAGGAGGCAGGUAGACAACAGUGGAGUCGGGAGAGACAACUACGAGGCGGAGGUAGCGGUGACACCGGCGGAGGUGGUGAUGACGGUGAGACGGAGGCAGCAGUGAUGUAGGCGGAGGAGGCGGUCGGACAGGGUUAGGGCGGGGGACCAUGGCUAUGGCCAUGGCGGUGACAGCGACGGGAUCACAUAUUUUCUAAACUCAGAUUGGUCGCACUUUAUUGUUGUCCUUGUAGUAGUGUUUUAUGGUUGCCAUGGUUUUUCUUAAUGUCUCCUUUCCUUGUAAUUGUUCUUCCUCAUAUAUUCGGUGUCUUCUUAAGGUAUGUUUGGUAUAGCUUUUGCACCGACUUUACAAAGCUGUUUUUCAGCUUCUCCUACCAAAUAAGUCUUGAUAAUAUAAACUGUUUUUUAGCUCCCCUCACAUGCACAGAUUCUUAGGUGAAGCUGAAAAUAGCAGCUUCUUGUAGCUUUUUCUCUACCAUCUUCUCUAAGAAGUUUUACCAAACAUUUUUUAAAACAACUUUACCUAAUAAAGCUGCUUUAUAGUAUCAAAACAAAAAAAAUCCAUUUCACUGGUGAAACUUUUUUUUUUGAAAUUCACUAGUGAAACUGACCUGUACCAAAUAGGCUCUUAGUUUUGAGUUUGGGCCAAGCUCAUCCAUAGGUUUGUACCUCUUUUUUUUGUUUUCGUUUGUCUAAUACUACUUAUGCCCCUAAGUAAGAUCAAUUUAUAGAGUUGUCUUCAAUCAAUUUUUUACUUUAACUAAAACUAUAGAAAAAGCGUAAAUAUUUAUAAUAGCAAAUCAAUAUCAUUAGAUACACUAUAAAAUAUAUUCUUAGUCAAUUAAAUUCUGUUAAACAAAAAAGUGACUUGAGACAACUCUACUUUUGCAUGGCAAAAUCCAGUCCAGCAUGCUGGAAAGCCUCUGAAAGAUAAAUACUCUCUCCAUACUGGUUUCCAUACUGGUAAGUAAGUAAGGUCGUUUUAGACAUGAUUUAGCAUACUAAGGAGUAAUUAAUUAUAAUGUAUCUUUCCUAGUCUGUCCUUUUUUAAUAGAGUUAUGGGUACCUUUGAAGGGUCGAGAUGGCGGACUAGAGGGAUGGUGAAUAGUCCUUUUUAAAACUUAUUACGCCAGCUAACCAAAAAUAAAUGCGGAAUUAAAACUAUCGCUCUAGCCAAGACUACACCCCCUCUAUCUAAGUUCUGUAGCACCUUAUAAAAGAUUCUAAACAAGCAAACAAGAUGCUACCUUAACAAGAGUUCACCUAACCAAUUCUAGGAGCAAGGUCACACAAACCUAUGCCACUAGUAAUUUGCAAACCGAGGAGGCUCCUAUACAACUAGUGAGCAAAAGCACAAAGCUCCUAGGCUCACUAGCAAUGCUCAAUAACAAGGCAACCAAUGCCAAACUAGAGAGCACAAACUACUUAGCUACACAAACUAAGCAAUGUGACUAACAAGGUUACACAAACCAAAUUAGCCACGCAAGGGAAUCUACUUCUAGCUACACAAGCAAGAAGAUAAUCAGCAAGCUACACAAGCUAAACUAAUUACAAUAGCAACUACAAAAGCAUAAGUAUAUGAAAGUAAAUACAAGCUUGUGUUAGGGACUUGCAAACCAACAGGAAGAAUAAUGUUGACACAAUGAUUUUCUCCCGAGGUUCACUUGGUUGCCACCAAGUUACGUCCCCGUUGAGAUAGGCUCCAAGGUUGUCGCUGGUCCUCUUUCUAGUGGUGACCCGCAAGUCAGACUCUCCCACUUAGAGUGCUUACCACAAGCUCUAGCACUUGAUCCGGCUGGACCACUUGUCGCCCUUCGCGUCUCGCUCUACUAGAGUUGCUCUUCGCGAUCCCCACGGGGUGAGCACAGUACCCCUCACAAAUCCUCCUCCGCAGCACCACACAAUCUUAUCGCGUACUUCAAACGGAGUCACAAUCCACCAAACCAUCUAGGUGAUGGCAAUCACCAAGAGUAACAAGAAAUCCCCAAUCACAAAGUUUUUCUAGUGCCACCAAAUGCAAAUCCCAAAUGCACACACUAGGCUCUCACUCCCUCACUCAAAAUAGCACCAAGCAUGAGAGGGAGAGGGAGGGAGGGGAAAAGGUGGAUCUUCAACCUCUCAUACACACCCACAAAGGGUUCUCAAUCUCUCUAAGAAAUUUCAGCUCAAAUCCAUGAGAGAGAGAGGAGAGGAGGAACCCUCGACUUGCUUGCUCUCUGUUGUAAAAUAAUGGGAGAGCCUCCUCUUCUGUGUUCCCGAGUGUUGGAGAAAGGAAAGCGAGUGCUCGGCCUAAAUUAACUUGGCCAGCCAGCUCUCCAACGGGCAACAACAAUGUCGUUUGCCACAACAGGCAGCAACACAGACACUGAGUGGCCCUCUGCAUUCUCUCAGCACUGAGCUCCACCAAAUAAAUGAGUGAGUAGCAAAGAGCAAAAGAAGCAACGGGAAGCUUAGAAAAAGCCAACACUUUUGGACUAUGAGCGGUCUCUGGUCAAGUCUUCACAGCCUAGAAAGAGAGUAGGAAAGGGGGUCCCACAGCUCAGAGAAGUAUCAAAACCGGUGCCCCUUUGAUUGUGCCAAAUCAAUACGACUCAAAUGAAGACUCGAUGCCAAAGAAAUCCUUAAUCUUGUCUGAGCCAGAUUCGCUUGAGCAUUAUUUUGGACAGAGCGGUCUAAAUAUUGAAGAUAUUGCCGCCAUUGUUGGAUGUCAAACUUUUGAAAAAAGGUGAGGUAGUUGAUCAAUGGAGGGCAAGAUAUGAACCGGGCAGGAGUCUAAUGAACCCUUAGCAUUUACAUGAGCUCGGCACACAAAUGUUUGCAAUAAACAAGUGGUGCAUGGAGGCGUCUAAAAGGGGAGAUAAUUGGAUUUCUGUUCGUAUUCGACAACAUCACUACUUCCAUGGAGAUGACCUCAUAUAUGUCCAGUUCGAAGAAUUGCACCAAUUAUGUCACCUCGACGCUCUCGACAAAUCUCUCGUCAGCUGCUUUUGUCUGUAAGUAUUUCCUUCUUUUUAUUAAACUUCUACCUUCUUUAAUUAUAUAUAUAUAAUCCUUACACACUUAGGAUUUGUAUGUAUAUAUGCAGGCACCAAAUGAGAGAGCUCAGAAGCAAAAAUGACAAUAGUAUUGGAUUCGUUGACCCUUAUAUUGUUUUCAAGGCUCCGCAGACAGUGUGGACAACAUCUCAUGAGACAGAAGUCUGCACCAAUCUUAUGAGGUUCUUUGUGAACUAAAAAGAAAAACAAAAAAUACUCUUUCCCUUCAAGUUUGAGUGAGUUAUAUAGUUAUUAAGUGUAUGCACAUUUUAUUUUACUUAUUAUUACUCUAUUCGAGUUUUAUAUAGUUAUAGGCCUGACUAUAUAUAUAUGUAAACAGCUUUCACUGGAUACUCAUGGUCAUUGAAAUUCUCAAGAACCGAUUGAUAAUCUUUGACUCAAUGAGAAAACCACAAGAAAUUUACCAACAAAUGGUAAACAUUAUUCAAAGGUACGUAAUGUCGAUCUCAGCUAGAAGAAUAUCAUGAUAUGACUCUGCAAUUAUUAGUUGACGAUCCACAAUGGCUGUGUGUAGGGUUUGAGAAAGAUUUAUUGACCGUGAACAUCUCAUUGGUUGUAAAGCGCCGCUUAAUAUAAUUCAUCCACAAGUAAGUUGUACUAGCUAGCAAACUUUCGCUAACUUUUAGCCUUCUUAGUGUCGUGGCCGUGAAUUUUUUUAUAUAUAUCGUACAGUGGUGUUUAAGACAAGAAGGGGGAACAACAUAUGUGCAUAUUACGUGUGCAAAUUCAUGAUGGCACAAGUCAACCAAACACCCACAGAGACGCUCAGAGUACGUUACAUGUCUCUUUUCAUUAUCUCCUGAAUUAUAUUGAUAACUAAUACCUUUUUUAUUUUAUUUCAAAUUAAAGACGGAAUGGUUGAGGGAAAAGGUCAUGCAAAAAGACCGCAUCAAAGCUAUUCAAGAGACGAUAGCAGGAUUUCUCCGCGAGCAAGUGAUCAAUCCAAACGGCGAGUUUCACUUCAACGACAACGGAACUCUUAUUCCAAACAACGAUGAUCAUUUGUAUCGGUUUUAGACAUUGGAGAAAAAACUCUAUGUAUAUAUGAGUUACGAAUUUUGUACUUAUAAAACUAUAUAUAAAGCUUUUUACAUAUCCAUCUAUUUAAUUAUUGAUGUGGCCUAUUCAUUUUAUUAUAGGCAAAGCUUAAUUAAAAGCUAAGCCUAUAAUUUUCAUUUAUAUAUGCUUAAUAUGCGUGUAAUAUAUAUAUUAUUAUAUUAGCAUAAAAUAUGUAUUGAUAAACCUAUUAUUAUUAUAUAAAAACAAUAAACAGAACCGAAGAAAUGAACUGAAAAAAAGAAAAAAAGAACCCCUUUAACACCGGUUGGUACGGUGUUAAAGGGGGGGAGGCUUUAGGCCCGAUUCCCCGAACCGGGACUAAAGGGUGGGCCUUUAGUCCCGGAAGGGCAGCACCGGCUCGGGAACCGGAGCAACAUGCCCUUCCCAACCGGUGCUAAUGCCUAAUCGUGUGCUAAUGCCUAAUCGUGUAAACAGUGUCACACUAUAAAAGAGCAAGUUUACCUAUUCGUUUUAGAUGUCUUAUGUGAGCCUUUCAUCAUCCGUGAGAUAUACAUUACAAUUUCACCUUUUGUUAAUACUCUGUACUAACUUUUUGUCUUAGUUAGGCCCUGUUUGGCACAACUCAACUUCAUUAGUAAAGUAGUUUUUAGAAAAUAGCUUCAUAAGUAACUUCCUAAAUGAAGCUAAGCUACUUUGGAAAAAGUGUUUGGUAAAAUAGCUUCGCCAACUACUUCUUGCAUAGAUGGGAGAAAGAAAUAAGGGAGAGAGUUGCAAUAAGGUACUUUUUUAGCUUUAUCUCACUCAUGUUUUUGUGAGAGGAGAAAAAAUAGCUUCACCUAUAAAACUGUUUUAGAAACAAAAAAAACAGCUCACGAAGCUGUACUCAACAGAACCAUAGAGAAGGAGCCGAAGUUGUGCAAGCCCUGUGUAACAUCCCGGAUUUUUACGAAAACCAAAAAUACGAGCUUUUUAAAAUUUUUUCAUGUAAUCGUGUGAAUCAUAUAGUUUUUAGAUCUAACUCGAUCCUAACCCGCUAACAAAUCGUGGCAUACAUAUAGAUUUGUUUCUAGGCGAGUGCUUUUGUUCGUGAGUCGUGUUGAGUUGGGUCUUGUUUAGGGUUUUGAGUUUCUUUUGGAGUGCACAAAUCCUUAGCAAAGUAUUCCCAUAUCUCCGUUGAGCCUAUCUCAAAGGCGAAGCGAAUCCUUUCUCAAUCUUUUCAUUGGAGUACGUCUCAAACUCCUUUAAUCCAUUUUGAACUCUUUUCCAAAUUCCCUUCUCCAAAACUUUUCUCUUGUUGAUCUCAUCACCAAAUCUCUGCCGCUAAAUCUAUCUUAAAUUCGUAGUGACUCAUCUCAAUCUCUUUUCCCUUUCCCGCUCAAUCAUUUUAGCAAAUAGUGGAAAAUCCUUCAAUUCCUUUCUCCAAAUAGAAAUUGGAAUAUUCUUUUCCCUCUCUGUCUCCUUGAAAUAUAAAUGGGAAGAGCAUUCUUAUUCCUCUUGGGCUCAACCCCUCAACCAGCCCACCACUCCUUCCCCCUCUUUUUCCCUCACCGCCAGCCCAGCCAACCAUCUGGCCCAGUCGGCCUCCCCAACCCCCCCGCGGCCUAGCACCCUCGCGCAGCCCACCUCCCGCAACCGGCCCAGCCAGGUCGGCCUGCCUCGCUCCCCUGCCCUGGCCCAAGUCGCGACCGGCCCAGCAGCCGCGCCCCACCUCUGCCCUAGGAGCGGAACGCUCCCAGGCAGAGCCGCCGCCGCCGCCGCUUCAAGGAGGAGAAGACCCGCGCGCGCCCCCGACGUCCAUGCCCACCCGCUUGAUCCACGCCGCGUGUCCCGAUGCGGACACGGACGCCGAGGAUGACCGUGGCUCCCCCUGGAACCCUAGCCUGGCGCGUAUAAGAGCCCGAGCCGCCACUCUCCUCUUCUUCCUCCAAGCCGCCGCCACUGUUGCCUUUCUCCCUCACCGCUGCAGCAGCUCGCCCUGGUGCGCUCCGUCGAGCCCCCACCGUCGCCACGCCGACCCCGCCCUCGUCCGGCGACCUCGACGCCCCUGCUGCGACGCCGAGCUGCCGCGACGCCGAGCCGCCGCGACGCCAAGCCCCCUCCCGCAGCGCUUCGCCACCGAGCUCCGGCCGAAUCUCCGACGACCGCGUCUUCGUCCUCGCCACGGUCACCAGGAGCCCACGACGUCCGCGACGACCUCGUCUUUACGAGCCUCGGCAGCGGCCACGACCUCGACGCCCCAGCAGGAGCUCCGCGCCCUCGCCGAGCACCUCGCCCCGGGCCACGACGCCGCCGAGCACCGCCGAGCCGCACCGCGACCCCGACGCCGUGCUCGCGCCCCUUCCUCUGCGCCAAGCCUCGACCCCGACCACACCGGAGUCGACAUCAAGCGACGCGACGCCGCACGUCCUCGACAAGGACUUCACCGAGCACCUCGCCCAGGAGCCCACGACGACGCUGCACCGGAGCCGCCCGCCACGUCGAGCUCGCCCCGCUCCGACCCCUGCAGCCGCGACGCCGAGCAGCAGGACAGCGACACCGACCUCGCCCCGACCACGACGUCGCCCGCAGCCACGCAUCACCGAAUGCCACCCCGACGUCGCCCGAGCCCUUGGCCACGUGCUCGCCGCGGUCCCCACCCCGACAGCAGCGUGGUAGCUGCGACGUCGCUGCGGUGACCAAGCACCACGACCACGUUCGGCGUCCAUGGCUCCGUCCUCGACUUUGAGCCCGUGACCAUCGAGCCGAACCGCGACACAGGCCCGUCGAUCUGCUCCCAACGCCGAGCGGAGGACCACCCCGACGCCUUCGUCCACGACCGCGACCUGAAGCCUGCCGUCUGCGAGGUCGAAACCCCCUAAACCCUAGCCGACGUUGGAACUCCAUAUUAAUUCAUAUCUGUCCAUACAUCAUUUCGUUAUCUGUCGUUUGUACAUGAUCAUUCAUCUCAUAUCUUGUCUAAUGCAUGAUCUAUCUUCGUCUAUAUCCAUGCCUGUGCCGUGCCUUCGUGCCGGUCUAUUUAUCUAUUUACUUAUCUAUCUCUAUCUCUCGUGCUAUGGAAAUGUGCUACUUCGAGAUAUCGUCGUGUUGGUGUUGUUGUUUAGUCAUUUGUCAAGUUGUGGUUCUUGCGGGUUGUGUGGUUCUUGUCGCUUUGGAUCGUGCCUUCGAGCCGGUCGGGGGAUCGUAAUACGUUUGAUCAUUUCGAUCGUGGGUUCGUCCCACCGUGAUCGCGAUGCCGAGCGUAACUCGUUUCCCGUGUUCAGUUGACUCUGUCGUGCCACGGUCGUUAGCUCUUGUUCUUGUCCCGCAGACAUGGUCAUCGUGGACUCGAUGUCUUUAUCGACGCGGUUCUUAUCCGCACACUCGAGACCUAAGUGACCUAGUCUAGUGGGAUACGAAUUAGAGGACAACCUUUGUGGGACUUACGAAAGCCAACUCGUUAGGUGGAGCUCAUGGCCGCGAGUCACCUCGCCAUGGUUAUCGGGUUUUACCUAGUUUCUCGCAUGUUUAUCUUAUUCGUCUCGUAUGCUUAUGCCACCUAGACCCGGGCAUUUCCCUAGUUCCCGCGAUGACAACCGCAUCACCUGGAACUAUAGGAAUGACCUUCUGCUGACUCAGAGGCACCUAGGUCGUAAAGUGUUAUGAGUUGGUGUAGAUUGUGGGCUCGAAUCUCUUUUAUCCAACCGUUGUUCGUUCCAUGGCGAGUUGGUCGAAAGAGUGUGAUUCGUUCUUCUUCUUCUCUCUUGUUCUCAAUCCCGUCGAGCCAGUAAGAUGUGGAUUAAGCCUCUUUUGCUUGUUUGAUGUUUCGUUUCCAAUCCCGCGAUUCUCGCUGUUGCUAUGGCGAGUGGGUCACACGAAGAUGAAUCUCGUAUCCCUUCCCUGCCUUUUUGGUUCUUUGUGCUUAAACUCUUGUAUGCUUGUACUUAAUCAACCGUAGCAUUUCUUUGGUUCUCGCGGUGACAACCGCACCGCUAAGAACCUUAGUGAUGUCUUAGUGCAUUUAGUGCACCUAGGUUGUGGCGCCCUACAAGUAGUUUGAGCACUCGUGUCCUUGGUGUGUCACUCCCUCUUAUGCCCUGUCUUUUGCCGUGGCAUGAGUAUUGGAAGGAGUAGACCACUUCCCUUCUUCUUCUCUCUUUAUUCCACCCUCUCUUGGCUCUCGCCAACUACAAUGGCGUAUGGGUUGAGAGAGACCGGAACUUCUCGUGCUCAUAGUCUUUACGAUUCCUGUCGAUCUCUAUGACACUUGGAUCGAAAGACCGUAAGCUGUGGUGUUUGCUUAGAAUGAGUUAGAGUCUAAGCCAUUUAUUAAAGUCGUACAGGUCGACACGAUCGACCCGGGAAGUACCGGCUAGGCUAAGACUCAAGCUUGUACUUGGUGAACAACCAUUUCCGUUUCUUUUAGCCCAGGGAUCGGACACCCACCGAGAGGGCUAAGCCGUUUUCCUUUCGGUGCUCUUUCAGUGUAGUUGUGCUUCAGUGUUUUGUCGCCUCUUCUCACAGUCUUUCUAGGACUAGUGGAUUGAUUGUUUCGCCUUGUUUGUCGUUUACGAGGUAGUUGCUUCGGGUAGCGUUGAUCGAAUCGGAACCAGUUGAAGGAAGGACAUGCAGAUAGGAGAAAGACCUUGGAUGAGUACAACUACAAGUGAACUGAGGAUCUUGGAAAUGUCACUCGACAGGUGCCACGUCCCACCCAACCUCGUAGAAUCCUAUUAGACAUGCAAUAUUAUAGAUGCUAGUGCUUUACUUUUAUGCAAAUGAACUAUGAUAGGUUGCAUGGUAGAAAUGCUUGUGAGCCAUUGCCUUGUUGCAACCUAUAACCCUCGCACACCCGCUGUUAGGUUAGAUGCUUGCAUACUACUUGCUACUGCUUCUACUACGCAUUAUAUCUGUGAUGUGAUGCAUUGUGGAGGAUUGGAUGUGAGUGGAUAAGGCACGUGUGCCGAUAACUGGUUAAGAAAUGGAUAAUGGAUAUGGGGAGAUCUUGGCGUGUGUCUUGGGUGUGUGGUGAGGGUCGAGUCGACCGAGCAGGAUUUACGACGAGUCUUGGGACAAGUCUUGCCGGGGAACGCUACCUGGGCGUUCUCCAUGAGAGAUACCUGUGGCAGGUACAUGUGACAGGGAGAGGUCCCGGAGUGGAGUGUCUUCGUGGGACGAAGCACCGGGAUGGGAGGUGCUGUAUAGCACGGGGUAGCCGGGUGUCCCGUCGAGAGGGGCAUCGGCUGGCCCCUCGUGAAGAUGUCCUGUUCGGUUACCCUAAGGACUGAGAUGUUCUGAGAACCGGUUCGUAGGAAGCCUUACACGCCACUCACCUUAUUAUGGUGCGGGACGGAUGUACGACCAGCUAGUGCGGUGCCACUACUACUAGGUUGAUAGCGGAUAGUGUAGGGAGGUACGGGCAUGAGGACCCACACCCUCCUAAGACAGCGUAGUGACCUUUGGGGGCCUGGUACUACGCCUCACAGUCUCAGCAUGCCGGUGGUACUCCGGUAUGGCCCCAGUCCUGAGUGGUAGGGUGGCAUCGUAUUUAGUUGGAAGGCAGCCCGGUAUCAGCCUAGACGAGCCGGUUCGUCGAUGAUGGUGAUCUUGUGGUUAGUGUAAACCUCUGCAGAGUUUGGUUGAUCGAUCGAUACAUAUGCCGUCUUCUCGGCUAUGGACCUUUCCUAUGUUCCGCUUCGCUUGACUAGUGAGAGGAGUCCUUUCUACCUCCCCCUGGGUUUGUGUUGGAUCCGGCGUUGGCCGUUGAGGCAAGGCACGAGCGGGAGUCGUACUUGCCGCCUAGAGAGUGAGAGUGUGGUGAGAUGUGUGUGAUGGGAUGGAUGGAUGGAUGUGUGGAUGAGAUGGAAUAAAACUUGAUGAAUUAUUAUUAUAAAAUAUUGAUGAACUUGCAUAGGAAAAACUACAGCUAUACAUAGGCCUCUUGAUAUACCCUUUGCAUUUCCACCUACCACAAAGCUACGCAAAAGCAUAGGGUGGGAGCCAGUGGCCAGUACAAAUUGUACUGAAAAUUGUUUAGCAGGUUUUGAACGUGAUCUAUGACGAUAACUACGGAGAAUAGAAGGAUUAGGUGGUCUCGUUCCUGCGCUCAAGUUUGGUUCAGAGAUGAAGGCUGCGCCCGCUGAUAAACUACGCCGACUCUGAUGAUUGUCCGUGAAGGAGGAGCCUUCACCGCUGUCGCGCUACAUCGACUCUGAUAAAGACUCGCGUGUGUUUCCGCUAGAAAAACAAUGUAAUAAGCUUGUUAAUCAAGAGUUGUAAAGCAAAUGUGUUGUUGUAACAGAACCGACCAAAUUAUAAGAGAUUAAGCCUAAUAGUGACCAUUUGCAUAGUCGAACCAUCACGCUUAAGCCCAUAUAAUCCCGGUAGUCCGUGAAAUCUCGAAGGAUUUCAAACCACACAUCGCAUACAGCCAAGAUCGUAAUAAGUUUAGCGGUCGCCAUCCACAAGUACAUCCAAAUUACAACAUUCAUGAAACACAUCGGAGUGCUUAUAGUUAUUACAAACCAAGUUCUUCAAGUAGCGGAAGCUUCAUAUUUCGAAAAUACAACACACACGAUAAGUCUGAUACAGUGCCAUAGUUCGGUCAUUCCCACAAAAGCAAAAGAAGAGACAGAGUGACCAUCGCCCUUGGUCUAGUCAUCACCCAUAGCUGGGUACAGACAGAGGAUGCAAUAACCAUAGUACAUCUGACCAUCUGCAAAACAACAUGGGAAUAGAACCCUGAGUACGAGAAGGUACUCAGCUAGACUUACCCGUCAUAAACUUAAAAUAAAGACUCAUCAAGGAUCAUGAAGGCUAUUUAGUGGGGUAGCUGACAACCAUUUUGCAAAGACCGCAAGGUUUUAUUACCCGAACCUACAUAAAUCUUUUCUUCUUUUAAUCUGCUCAAGUUGAAAGUAUCAUUACCUAUUCUCUAGGUUUGCACCUGUGCUAUUACAAGCAAGUAUGAGACUAUGAUAGUACCUCAUCACAGCAAUCAUAAACCCGUUUCAUUAUAUCCCAAGUGUUCCAUAGUCCUUACUACGAGGACGAAGCUCAUGUCAAGUGCUCACUAUCCAGGAGCGAUGGCGAUUCGAAUCGAUUUCUAACCAGCUGGCGACUUUAUUCCCCACACAAACCACACUCACUGAUCAAGUGAGCUACAGGUCACCGUGUUGCACUAUCCAGGACCAAUUCGCGGGUUCGACAGGCACCGCCCGUACCCGAGGACCGUUCCGGCGACCGAGGUAUCCAAGGUAUACCAAGGUUGCGCGCCGCGCCCUCGUCAUUCUCCUCGACCAUCACCAAUACAGCGCGUACAUCGGGCCGAUUCCCGGCCCGGAUAGUGCUCAGGCUUCGCGGUCGGAACGACUUAUCCUUCCAGCUAAAUGUGGGGCAUGCGUUCAACAUGACAAGAGGGCCGUCAACGAUCGGUCCUUAAUCGACACAGACAGGGGCACUAUGGUCAACCCACCAUAAGUCUCUGCCCGGUCUCCAAAUUCAUUCCACCCUGGGUUAUUCUUUUCCCCGAGCAACCAAUGCUUAAUCAAGCAGGUAUCCACCUAUAUCUCGCAGGUGACAGGGAAUCACCCGACUUCUACCGGGCUAAGCAAGCUAAGCAUAGACUCCGUGCCUGUCUACAUAGGACAAGGUAGUUGAAUGAGUAGGAAUAACAAGGAGUACUCAUGCAGCAACGGUAUCAGGCAACUCCUAUUACUUAUAUGCAAUAUAGUAGAACCAGUGUAAUAUAUAUAGUAAGUUAGCGAGAAUAGGGAGACUUAGAAUGCUCCGGGGCUUGCCUUUCUCAAAGGUGCUGGGUCGGUGAUUCGGACACUCUUGCAAUUCCUCUCCGGUUUCCUGUGCUUCCGGAGGUUCCUGCUCCUGUAUCUCCUCGGGUUCCUCGGGUCCCACUUCGUUCUCCUGCGAGCCUGUAUGAUGCAUAUAUGCUCAUGAGUGGCGUGCGAGAUGCCCGAGUGGAUGCUUAUAUGAGAGAGUACCAAAGGAGUCAUGUUUAUGAUGCAUAGGUAAUGCACUUGGUCAUGCUUAUUACAAGGUAGUCAACAUCACCCAAGAAUAAACAAUUGAACCAAACACCUAUUACAUUCUCUUCUAUCAUUAUUUUUCAAAUGAAACCAGCAACCUCUAUGAUGCUUCAAAGAUACACCAAACCCAACUUAUUCCAUUCAACUUAUAUACAUAACCAUUCAUCAUUUUUCUUUAUUCAUUUCUAAGCCCAUUAAAAAUCACAUGCAAUUCUGUUCAUCAAUAAAUUCCAGAAAAAUUACAGGAGACUACUAGUUAAUCACAAAGUUCACUGUAAAUUUUUCAUAAUUUUUGGUUACUUAUUUUGAGCCACAAAAAUCACAAGAUUAAUGGAUAAGGCAAGUAUAAUCACCCUACUGUGAUAUAAGUGUCAAACAACAGAUUUCAUAUUUUUACAAUUUGUCUAAUAUCAUAAGAAACAUCCACAAAAUUUUCCAGAUUUAUUGCAUGACUCAAUUAAUUAUUAAAAAUCAUAAAGUACUGCCAUGCAAGCAUUUAAAUUACCAUAAAUUCAUUUAUACACCAAAUAAUAUGUAACAAUAUUUUCUCAGUGAGUAAACACACAUGCAGAGCCAGCAAAACAAGUUUCACAUUUUUCUGAGCCAUAUUUCAUUUACUAUGCAUUUUCCAAGUUUAACAAAAACAUGGAUUAAUUAUACUUACACAGAAAAGUCACUCAAACAUGACAUGCAAUCAUACUAGGAUAUAGAUCUGGAAAUAAGGAACACACCAAAAUUUAUUUCACCAUUUUUGGAGCUAUAUUCAUCAAGAUAUGGAUUUUUGAACAUUUAAAUCAUUUUCUGGAAAAACUUUUAAAACGAAAAACCACCUAAAACGCUAAACGCACCCGGAUCCAUUCCCUCGGAGUCACUGACAGGCGGGACACGCGAGUCAGAGGACCCCACCUGUCAUCCACCCCGGGACCCCGCGGCCAAAGAUCGGCCGGAAUCUCGCCGCCGGUGAGGUUUCCGGCGACACCGUGAGCACCUACGGCUUCGCGCGAACGAGACGAGUCCAGCCGUACCCUCUUUGGCACCGGACGAGCACCGGAACUACCUCGCCGUCGUGAAUGGCGGACGCGGCGGCGCUGCUCGCCGUGGUCCGGCCGUUUCACGGCGGUAGAGCGCGAGCCACUAACGGGAAAAGGUGCGCGAGGUCACGGCGGACCCAAAGCACCUACGAGCGCAAGCAGAGACAGAGAGGAGGGGGAGAACCGCGCGAGCCGAGAGGUCGCCGGAGCUCCGACUUACUCCGGUGAGCUCUAGCGGACACGCAGGGCUUACCAAGCGCGGAAGAGCGCGAGCACGCGACGCGGAAGGACGAGGCGGAGCCGGUGGUGGUCGCGAAGGGGAAGAAGAGGGCCGGAGCUGGCCGGGAGAGGAGCUCCGAGCCGUCGGCGGCUAUGGCGUGCGGCGGAGCGGCGAGCGCUGCGCGAGAGCGAGAGAGCGAGAGAGAGAGAGAGCUGAGGGGCGCAAAUGGGAGCGGGGGCGGAGGCGAGCGCGACCGGGGGCACCUGGUGGCCGACCAGGGCGUCUCCACGCCGUCGCAUGCCCGCCACGCGGCGGCCGAGCCCUGCCGGCGUGCCACGGCGUCGCAGCGAGCGCCGUCCGCGCGCGGACGCGGGCGCGAGCGCGGGGAAGGGGGAGGGGAGAGCGCGGGCGGGCCGAGCCGGCUUCGGCCAGUGGGCCAGAAGCGAGGCCGCGGCCUGCUAGCGCCCCCUUUCUCCUUUUUCCAUUUUUUUUUAAUUUCUUUUCUCAAAUUCUCUCAUAAAUUCAUUUGGACCAAUUUAAAAUCAUUUUCACCUCUUGCUCCCAAAAACAAAGUUGUUCCAAAACAAAAACCCUACCACUUUGCUUUAACAAGCAAGACCAAAUUCCAAGCAGAAUUUGAAUUACAAGUUAAACUCAGUUCUAGGUUUCAAAUAAAUUCUUUUUUGGUAUUUUUGUAUAAAUUCCAUUUUCUCAAUUUCCAUAGCUCCAAAAAUUGCACAAAAAUAUUCUAAAUUCUUUUCACACAUGAAUCAACCAAAUUUGAAUUUUUCACAAUUUUAGAAGCAAGCAUCAUAUUUUAAACAUAUUUAGAACACAUGAGAUGAUGCACAUAAAAUCAUAAUUUGGCAAGAGUGUCAUGCUCAUGAUGCUUAUGCUUGAUGGAAUGCUUAUGCAUGGCUUUGGUGAGACUAAGUGCAUGCUUAACACCUAGGGUGUUACAGCCCUUCCCCCCUUAGGGAAAUCUCGUCCCGAGAUUUUGGGUUACUAACCAUUUCUUAUGAAACUUUGGAUAAACUGUUUUUAAGUAAUCCUCUGUUUCCCAGGUGGCAUCCCUAUCGUCAUGAUGACUCCACACCACCUUAUAUGUUUUGACAAUUCUGUUUCGGGUUACUCGUUCCUUGGUAUCCACAAUCCCCACUGGCUGCUCUUUAUACUCUAAGUCUGCUUUUAUUUUGAUUCUUCGAGGUUCAAUUCUUUGCUCAGGCACUUUCAAACAUUUCUGUAGUUGCGACACAUGGAAGACCGGAAAGAUCGAGCUCAUCUCUUCAGGUAACUGAAUCUUAUAGGCCACUGGGCCUUUCCUCUCUAGCACUUGGUACGGUCCCACAUAUCUGGGUGCAAGCUUGCUUCGAACUCGGAAACGUUGAACUUUCUUCAUUGGUGUAACCUUGAGGUACACAUAGUCACCUAUGUUGAAUUCAAGUGGCCUCCUUCUCUUAUCAGCAUAACUCUUCUGUCGUGACUGUGCUGCUUGCAUAUGUUGUUGUAUAAUCUGCACCUUUUUCUCGGCAUCAUUCACAAAGUCGAUACCAUAGUAUCUCCUUUCACCAGGUUCCACCCAGUUUAAUGGAGUUCGACAUCUCCGCCCAUACAAAGCUUCGAACGGGGCCAUCUUGAUGCUCUCUUGAUAACUAUUAUUGUAUGAGAACUCAGCCAGCGGCAACCAUGAUUCCCACGAUCCCCUGGAUGAUAGCACACAGGCUCUCAGCAUAUCUUCUAACACUUGAUUUAGCCUCUCGGUUUGACCUGAAGUCUGGGGAUGAUACGCCGUGCUUCUUAUCAGACUGGUCCCCAAGCUCUUAUGCAUGCGCUCCCAGAAGUGAGCAGUGAACUGCGGUCCUCUAUCCGAUACGAUGGUUUUGGGAAUACCAUGCAAUUUGACGAUCUCAGCCAUAUAUAUAUCAGCAUAUUCGGGAGGUCUGUAUGUGUUCUUGACUGGAAUGAAAUGAGCCGACUUGGUUAAUCGAUCUAUGAUUACCCAAAUCGAGUCAUUCCCCUUCCUGGUUGUCGGUAAGCCGGUGAUAAAGUCCAUACUGACCUCUUCCCAUUUCCACUCCGGAACUGAUAACGGUUGUAACAGACCUGCAGGUUUCAUAUGGAUGGCCUUAACUCUGCAACACGUGUCACAACGGGCCACAUAAGCGGCUAUUUCUUUCUUCAUCUUGGUCCACCAAAAGUGGGGCCUUAGAUCUUGAUACAUUUUGCUGCUGCCAGGAUGAAUAGAAAGCUUAGAGAGAUGGGCUUCAUCCAUGAUGCGAUUCUUCAACUCCCGAUCUUUCGGGACCACUAACCGCUGUUGAAACCACAGCACCCCCUUCUCAUCAACCCGAAACUGAGUCUUUGGGUCAUCUUUGGUUUUCUCUUUGAUGUGGAAAAUACCCUUGUCUGUUUUCUGACCUUCAAUGACUUGACUCUCGAGUGAACAACUGAGUUGUAUAUGACAUAAGACCUCAGGAUGCAUAAGAUUGAACCCAUCUUCAAACAACGGUUGAACUAUUUGAUAGUGCGGUUUGCGACUCAAAGCAUCUGCGACCACGUUAGCUUUGCCUGGAUGAUAGUGAACUUCCAGGUCAUAAUCCUUGAUUAGCUCUAACCACCGUCGUUGCCUCAUAUUCAGCUCGGACUGAGUGAAGAUGUACUUCAAACUCUUGUGAUCGGUGUAAAUGUGACACUUAUUUCCCAGUAGAUAAUGUCUCCAAAUCUUCAAAGCAUGCACCACAGCUGCUAACUCAAGGUCAUGCGUUGGAUAGUUGACUUCAUGCUUUCUCAACUGUCGGGAAGCAUAAGCUAUCACCCUGCCAUCUUGCAUCAACACACACCCCAGGCCACUCUUCGAUGCGUCACAAAACACAUCAAAAGGCUUCUCUAUAUUAGGUUGUGCCAGAACGGGAGCAGUGGUUAGCAACUUUCGCAAGGUGCGGAAGGCUAACUCACAUCCUUCUGUCCAGACAAACUUAUGGUCCUUUUGUAGCAAACUUGUCAUUGGCUUAGCAAUCUUGGAGAAGUCAGGUAUGAAACGACGAUAAUACCCGGCCAGACCAAGAAAACUUCUAACUUCCGAGACAGAAGUUGGUGCCUUCCAGUCCAUGACUUCCUGCACUUUUGAUGGAUCCACGGCAAUCCCUUCUUCAGACAAAAUGUGCCCUAGGAACGGAACUUUCUUCAACCAGAACUCACACUUGCUGAAUUUGGCAUAUAACUGAUGCUCUCGUAAUCGGGUCAGCACGAUUCUCAGAUGUUCGGCGUGAUCUUGCUCAUUCUCUGAAUACACCAGGAUAUCAUCGAUAAACACCACAACAAACUUAUCCAAUUCUGGCAUAAAGACUGAAUUCAUCAGAUACAUAAAGUAUGCAGGAGCAUUUGUCAACCCAAAGGACAUGACAAGAUACUCGUACAACCCAUAUCUGGUGGAAAAAGCAGUCUUCGGGAUAUCUUGCGGACGAAUCUUGAUUUGGUGAUACCCGGAUCUCAAAUCUAUCUUAGAGAACACUCUUGCCUUGGAUAACUGAUCAAACAGGAUAUCAAUCCUUGGCAAGGGAUACUUAUUUUUGAUUGUCACUGCAUUGAGUGGACGAUAGUCCACGCACAUGCGCAACGACUGAUCCUUCUUUUUCACAAACAACGCUGGACAACCCCACUCCGACGAACUUGGCCGGAUGAACCCUUUAUCCAGCAACUCUUUUAGUUGAUUCUUCAACUCGGCGAGUUCAUUUGGGGGCAUCCGAUACGGCCUUCUAGAUAUUGGUGCUGUACCUGGUAUCAACUCGAUCGUAAACUCUACCUCCCUAUCUGGGGGAAGUCCUGGUAAAUCCUCAGGAAACACAUCCGGGAACUCACAUACCACGGGUAUGUGUUCUAGAGAGACUACCUGUACUGCACAUGAAAGACUGGCGAAGUCCAACCGUCUAGGUAGCUUGACCUGAAGCACCCCCUUUCCUUGCGGGUCUCUAAGGGAAAGAGUUCUAUUCCCGGUAUCUAUAACCGCGCCCCAAUCAGUCAUUUUGUUCAUCCCAAUGAUGACAUCCAAAACCAGUCCCGUCAUGACCACAAGGUUUACACGGAACCUCCGACCACUGAUAUCCAAGGUAACUCCUGUUACCGUUUUAUUAGUCAACACGUCGGCCCCGGCUGAGCUGAUGCGAUAGCCAUAACCUAACUCAGUAACUGGCUGAUCAUGCUUUUGUGCAAAUGCUUGACUCAUGAAAGAAUGCGACGAUCCAGAAUCAAACAAAACAACUGCAAGAUGUUGGUUGACAGAAAACAUACCAGCUGUUACCGGUUCUCCUUCCGGGAUUUCCUCAAUCGAGGUAUGAUGCACACGAGCUGGAUAGGUUGGCUGCUGCCUCUUGGGGUAGGGACAUUCUUUAGCAAAGUGCCCCAUCUUGUGGCAGUUAUAGCACGGACCCUUGGGCGCAUUGUUGACGGCAGGUGCUGCAGCUUGAAUGGCCUUUGGCUUGGCAGGAGCUAUCGCCACCUUGUACGGCUUCUGCUGUGUUGGAUGCCCGGUGUUCCUUCUCUGCGGUGGUCGGAACCUAGCACCCGGGGCAGGAGGACGAUACUGCUGUCGCCCUGCCACUGGUGCCCUGGACUGGGAUGAUCCUGCUUCAAAAGCCCUUUUACGUGACUUGGACGCACUGUAGUUGUUGUUAUUGUUCUCUUGGGUCAGACAGUCACUGAUAUAGGCAUUGAAAGUAGCCCUGGCCCCGGUACCCAUGGUCUUCAGCAUCUUUGGAUUCAAGCCCCUCUGGAAACUAGCAAUCUUCUUGGCCUCCGUGUUCACAAACUCAGGGGCAUAUCGAGCGAGAUUAUUGAAGGCAUGUAGAUACUCUUUCACAGAUUUCGUCCCUUGGGACAGCCUCAUGAACUCCCCAACCUUCAUUUCAACCAUACCAGGAGGAAUGUAAUUUCCCCGGAAAGCGGUGGUGAAGCGGUUCCAGGUGAUUGGUGUCCCCUCUGGGUAGGUGGUACGGUGAUGGGACCACCAAAUCCCAGCGGGUCCUUGCAACUGAUGUGCCGCAUACUCAGCCUUGAGUUCUUCUGUCAUUCGGAGAAGACGAAACUUCUGCUCCAUGGUGUUGAUCCACUCAUCCGCUUCGAGCGGUUCCAAGGCCUCCUUAAAGAUUGGUGGCUUGGUAUCCAUGAAGUCCUUGAACGAACUGUACUGGUUGACCUCCCGACCACCCUGAUUAUCUCCACGACGGGUGUUGUCAGCUAUGUGGCGCAAAGCUUCUUCCAUGUUGCGCUGCAUCUGUUCCAUGUUGCGUUGGCUUCCCAGAAACUGCGCGAAAAACACAUCCGCAGUGUACGGGGGAGGUGGUGGUGGUGUUGGUGCUUGGUCCUCAUUCCGUUGAGCCCCAUUUCCGGAUGCACCUGCUCCAAGACCCGGAUGGCCGUUACCCCCGCCACGUGUUUGUACCAUCUGCAUACGCCAAUGAUAAGCAAUCGUUAGGAGUUGCCAUCAACCGGUAGGAAAUGUGUAAAAUCGUGCCAUACUGAAUUUACUGAGGGAAUAAAUUCACACAAUAAACAAAGGCACAACAACUCAUCAUCCACGCACAACAUCACUAACAGAUUACUUAACAUUCACGCAACAAGGUUCGCGUACAUCCAACUUGCCAGCCUACAUACACUGGACUUUCAGCAUCAACUCAUAAAGUCUUACACAGCCCAGAUCCAAAAGUACAUGACAUGCCACGCAACAUACAUCACAAAAGAGGAAAGACUAGCUCUAGAGCCCUAGCAUCUAGUCGCUAUGAUCACUGUCCAUGCCAGAGCCAUCCUCAUCCUCGUCACCACUAGCAGCUACUCCUAUCUCGGGAUCCGCGUCCAUCUCGUCCUCAGAGUCUAGCUCCGCUGCUCCAGGCAGGUGGUGAGGGUGGAGCUGGUUAUGCAGCUGGUGGAUCUCCUCAUGCAAGUUCUCAUUGUACUCCUCGGCAUUAGCUAGCUGCUGCUCUAGCUCCAGCUGUCGGGCCCUCAAAGUGUCCUCCUCGUGCCAGGCUUCAUUCCUCUGUCCAAGCACAUGGACUAGCAUGCGCUCGCAGUUCCUGUGAGCAGUAGUCACCCUGUCCCUCUGCUCUCGCACUGCAAGCAGGUCCUGACUCAGCUCACUGUUCUUCUGGACUGCCUGGUCUCUCUCUCUUGUCACACGAGCCAACUCUGCCUGUAGCCUCUCAACCUCAGAGUCAAACUCACGCUGCAACUGACGCUUCUCAUCCUGGACGGUGAGAAGAGACCCGGACAAGCGACCCAAACAACGCUCCAGGCCUCCAUAGGUCUUCAUCAACGCGUACAUGGCACUCAUAGCUGCACUGUCACUGUGCUGGUCCUCAUCCGCACUCCUCUCUAGAGCAUUCACCUCGGACUGAUCCCACACCGAAGUGUAAGGGUCACCCCGGGGAAACACCCCAGCGAAGGCGUGGGCCAGCUCCUGUGGAAACCUCUCCAUGAGGUCCCUCAGAACUGCGAAAGCUGCCCUGCUGGCACCGUGGAAAGGCGUGACACCUCGGGACUCGUACACCCAACCGCCCCAAGCAGGGUCUCCUCCACUGGUAGGGACAACUGCCUCGAUCCCCACCAGGGUCUCGUCACCAAGCGGCUCCUUAUCCCAAUAGUAGCGAGGCUCCCUUCCUUCGGGAUACCCCAUCGAACUGAGCACCCUCCAAAGCAAAGUGGGCAUCCCAAACUCCUCUAGGAACUUGCUCUUAUGUCGCGAGCUCCUAGCUGCCAACGGAUGGCGAGGGGCCCGCCCACCAGUGGACUUGCGAGCGGUGAGCCUAGUGCGUGCCAUCUGCUGCAAAUGGAAUACCGUGGGUAAGAGCGAGGAUUACCUUUAAUUAUUUUAUUUAGAAUUGGGACAGAUUAAAUUAAGGGGGAAGUAAGCAAUGAUAUGAAAUGAACAUGAUGCAUGCACGAACUUACGAUCUCACAAACUUUAGAAAACCAAGGUUAACACUAAGCGGUAUACGCGGUGGCAUACAACGUUCUCUCAUAACGUAACUAGCGUUCUAAGCGAGAAUGUGGUUAGUGUACCUGCAGAAAACUCAUUUUAGCCCACCCACAAUAUGACCAUGCAGAGCAAGAAUUUAAAACCAUGCACUUCACAUACACAGACACCCGUCCAUGCAUGUGACGUGCCACUACCCACAUCAUCGCCCUAUUGACGGCAUCGCCUCUCAGGACGGAAUUCCCAGCAUGCGGUACUGUUCCCAAGACACACCAACCUGUGUGCAUGACACAGCACCUGACAACACUUCCCUAGACCGGCAGUGUAUCCGAUCAUGCUCUCACAACUCCCACUUACCAUGGCGUAGAGGAAGAAUUGAUCCAUACAUUACCACUCAAAUGAAUGGCACUCAUACCAUUGCACGCCGUAUGAGCGACGAAAUAAAAAUAUGAUGCAUUAACCCCCAAGUCAGUACUUAGCUAGCCACCUUAGAGUCCUUAACUGGGCAUAAAGGAUAUGACCAUGGCACACUAGAUAAUUUUCCCAAAACUUAGUUUAACACCUUGAUCAUUCUUAAUUAAUUAAUAAAAUCUUUUACUAAACCGGUUUAGACUUUUGUUUAAACAUACUUAUGAACAGUAACUCGCUAAACCUUGCUCCGAUGCCAGCUGUAACAGAACCGACCAAAUUAUAAGAGAUUAAGCCUAAUAGUGACCAUUUGCAUAGUCGAACCAUCACGCUUAAGCCCAUAUAAUCCCGGUAGUCCGUGAAAUCUCGAAGGAUUUCAAACCACACAUCGCAUACAGCCAAGUCGUAAUAAGUUUAGCGGUCGCCAUCCACAAGUACAUCCAAAUUACAACAUUCAUGAAACACAUCGGAGUGCUUAUAGUUAUUACAAACCAAGUUCUUCAAGUAGCGGAAGCUUCAUAUUUCGAAAAUACAACACACACGAUAAGUCUGAUACAGUGCCAUAGUUCGGUCAUUCCCACAAAAGCAAAAGAAGAGACAGAGUGACCAUCGCCCUUGGUCUAGUCAUCACCCAUAGCUGGGUACAGACAGAGGAUGCAAUAACCAUAGUACAUCUGACCAUCUGCAAAACAACAUGGGAAUAGAACCCUGAGUACGAGAAGGUACUCAGCUAGACUUACCCGUCAUAAACUUAAAAUAAAGACUCAUCAAGGAUCAUGAAGGCUAUUUAGUGGGGUAGCUGACAACCAUUUUGCAAAGACCGCAAGGUUUUAUUACCCGAACCUACAUAAAUCUUUUCUUCUUUUAAUCUGCUCAAGUUGAAAGUAUCAUUACCUAUUCUCUAGGUUUGCACCUGUGCUAUUACAAGCAAGUAUGAGACUAUGAUAGUACCUCAUCACAGCAAUCAUAAACCCGUUUCAUUAUAUCCCAAGUGUUCCAUAGUCCUUACUACGAGGACGAAGCUCAUGUCAAGUGCUCACUAUCCAGGAGCGAUGGCGAUUCGAAUCGAUUUCUAACCAGCUGGCGACUUUAUUCCCCACACAAACCACACUCACUGAUCAAGUGAGCUACAGGUCACCGUGUUGCACUAUCCAGGACCAAUUCGCGGGUUCGACAGGCACCGCCCGUACCCGAGGACCGUUCCGGCGACCGAGGUAUCCAAGGUAUACCAAGGUUGCGCGCCGCGCCCUCGUCAUUCUCCUCGACCAUCACCAAUACAGCGCGUACAUCGGGCCGAUUCCCGGCCCGGAUAGUGCUCAGGCUUCGCGGUCGGAACGACUUAUCCUUCCAGCUAAAUGUGGGGCAUGCGUUCAACAUGACAAGAGGGCCGUCAACGAUCGGUCCUUAAUCGACACAGACAGGGGCACUAUGGUCAACCCACCAUAAGUCUCUGCCCGGUCUCCAAAUUCAUUCCACCCUGGGUUAUUCUUUUCCCCGAGCAACCAAUGCUUAAUCAAGCAGGUAUCCACCUAUAUCUCGCAGGUGACAGGGAAUCACCCGACUUCUACCGGGCUAAGCAAGCUAAGCAUAGACUCCGUGCCUGUCUACAUAGGACAAGGUAGUUGAAUGAGUAGGAAUAACAAGGAGUACUCAUGCAGCAACGGUAUCAGGCAACUCCUAUUACUUAUAUGCAAUAUAGUAGAACCAGUGUAAUAUAUAUAGUAAGUUAGCGAGAAUAGGGAGACUUAGAAUGCUCCGGGGCUUGCCUUUCUCAAAGGUGCUGGGUCGGUGAUUCGGACACUCUUGCAAUUCCUCUCCGGUUUCCUGUGCUUCCGGAGGUUCCUGCUCCUGUAUCUCCUCGGGUUCCUCGGGUCCCACUUCGUUCUCCUGCGAGCCUGUAUGAUGCAUAUAUGCUCAUGAGUGGCGUGCGAGAUGCCCGAGUGGAUGCUUAUAUGAGAGAGUACCAAAGGAGUCAUGUUUAUGAUGCAUAGGUAAUGCACUUGGUCAUGCUUAUUACAAGGUAGUCAACAUCACCCAAGAAUAAACAAUUGAACCAAACACCUAUUACAUUCUCUUCUAUCAUUAUUUUUCAAAUGAAACCAGCAACCUCUAUGAUGCUUCAAAGAUACACCAAACCCAACUUAUUCCAUUCAACUUAUAUACAUAACCAUUCAUCAUUUUUCUUUAUUCAUUUCUAAGCCCAUUAAAAAUCACAUGCAAUUCUGUUCAUCAAUAAAUUCCAGAAAAAUUACAGGAGACUACUAGUUAAUCACAAAGUUCACUGUAAAUUUUUCAUAAUUUUUGGUUACUUAUUUUGAGCCACAAAAAUCACAAGAUUAAUGGAUAAGGCAAGUAUAAUCACCCUACUGUGAUAUAAGUGUCAAACAACAGAUUUCAUAUUUUUACAAUUUGUCUAAUAUCAUAAGAAACAUCCACAAAAUUUUCCAGAUUUAUUGCAUGACUCAAUUAAUUAUUAAAAAUCAUAAAGUACUGCCAUGCAAGCAUUUAAAUUACCAUAAAUUCAUUUAUACACCAAAUAAUAUGUAACAAUAUUUUCUCAGUGAGUAAACACACAUGCAGAGCCAGCAAAACAAGUUUCACAUUUUUCUGAGCCAUAUUUCAUUUACUAUGCAUUUUCCAAGUUUAACAAAAACAUGGAUUAAUUAUACUUACACAGAAAAGUCACUCAAACAUGACAUGCAAUCAUACUAGGAUAUAGAUCUGGAAAUAAGGAACACACCAAAAUUUAUUUCACCAUUUUUGGAGCUAUAUUCAUCAAGAUAUGGAUUUUUGAACAUUUAAAUCAUUUUCUGGAAAAACUUUUAAAACGAAAAACCACCUAAAACGCUAAACGCACCCGGAUCCAUUCCCUCGGAGUCACUGACAGGCGGGACACGCGAGUCAGAGGACCCCACCUGUCAUCCACCCCGGGACCCCGCGGCCAAAGAUCGGCCGGAAUCUCGCCGCCGGUGAGGUUUCCGGCGACACCGUGAGCACCUACGGCUUCGCGCGAACGAGACGAGUCCAGCCGUACCCUCUUUGGCACCGGACGAGCACCGGAACUACCUCGCCGUCGUGAAUGGCGGACGCGGCGGCGCUGCUCGCCGUGGUCCGGCCGUUUCACGGCGGUAGAGCGCGAGCCACUAACGGGAAAAGGUGCGCGAGGUCACGGCGGACCCAAAGCACCUACGAGCGCAAGCAGAGACAGAGAGGAGGGGGAGAACCGCGCGAGCCGAGAGGUCGCCGGAGCUCCGACUUACUCCGGUGAGCUCUAGCGGACACGCAGGGCUUACCAAGCGCGGAAGAGCGCGAGCACGCGACGCGGAAGGACGAGGCGGAGCCGGUGGUGGUCGCGAAGGGGAAGAAGAGGGCCGGAGCUGGCCGGGAGAGGAGCUCCGAGCCGUCGGCGGCUAUGGCGUGCGGCGGAGCGGCGAGCGCUGCGCGAGAGCGAGAGAGCGAGAGAGAGAGAGAGCUGAGGGGCGCAAAUGGGAGCGGGGGCGGAGGCGAGCGCGACCGGGGGCACCUGGUGGCCGACCAGGGCGUCUCCACGCCGUCGCAUGCCCGCCACGCGGCGGCCGAGCCCUGCCGGCGUGCCACGGCGUCGCAGCGAGCGCCGUCCGCGCGCGGACGCGGGCGCGAGCGCGGGGAAGGGGGAGGGGAGAGCGCGGGCGGGCCGAGCCGGCUUCGGCCAGUGGGCCAGAAGCGAGGCCGCGGCCUGCUAGCGCCCCCUUUCUCCUUUUUCCAUUUUUUUUUAAUUUCUUUUCUCAAAUUCUCUCAUAAAUUCAUUUGGACCAAUUUAAAAUCAUUUUCACCUCUUGCUCCCAAAAACAAAGUUGUUCCAAAACAAAAACCCUACCACUUUGCUUUAACAAGCAAGACCAAAUUCCAAGCAGAAUUUGAAUUACAAGUUAAACUCAGUUCUAGGUUUCAAAUAAAUUCUUUUUUGGUAUUUUUGUAUAAAUUCCAUUUUCUCAAUUUCCAUAGCUCCAAAAAUUGCACAAAAAUAUUCUAAAUUCUUUUCACACAUGAAUCAACCAAAUUUGAAUUUUUCACAAUUUUAGAAGCAAGCAUCAUAUUUUAAACAUAUUUAGAACACAUGAGAUGAUGCACAUAAAAUCAUAAUUUGGCAAGAGUGUCAUGCUCAUGAUGCUUAUGCUUGAUGGAAUGCUUAUGCAUGGCUUUGGUGAGACUAAGUGCAUGCUUAACACCUAGGGUGUUACAGCCCUUCCCCCCUUAGGGAAAUCUCGUCCCGAGAUUUUGGGUUACUAACCAUUUCUUAUGAAACUUUGGAUAAACUGUUUUUAAGUAAUCCUCUGUUUCCCAGGUGGCAUCCCUAUCGUCAUGAUGACUCCACACCACCUUAUAUGUUUUGACAAUUCUGUUUCGGGUUACUCGUUCCUUGGUAUCCACAAUCCCCACUGGCUGCUCUUUAUACUCUAAGUCUGCUUUUAUUUUGAUUCUUCGAGGUUCAAUUCUUUGCUCAGGCACUUUCAAACAUUUCUGUAGUUGCGACACAUGGAAGACCGGAAAGAUCGAGCUCAUCUCUUCAGGUAACUGAAUCUUAUAGGCCACUGGGCCUUUCCUCUCUAGCACUUGGUACGGUCCCACAUAUCUGGGUGCAAGCUUGCUUCGAACUCGGAAACGUUGAACUUUCUUCAUUGGUGUAACCUUGAGGUACACAUAGUCACCUAUGUUGAAUUCAAGUGGCCUCCUUCUCUUAUCAGCAUAACUCUUCUGUCGUGACUGUGCUGCUUGCAUAUGUUGUUGUAUAAUCUGCACCUUUUUCUCGGCAUCAUUCACAAAGUCGAUACCAUAGUAUCUCCUUUCACCAGGUUCCACCCAGUUUAAUGGAGUUCGACAUCUCCGCCCAUACAAAGCUUCGAACGGGGCCAUCUUGAUGCUCUCUUGAUAACUAUUAUUGUAUGAGAACUCAGCCAGCGGCAACCAUGAUUCCCACGAUCCCCUGGAUGAUAGCACACAGGCUCUCAGCAUAUCUUCUAACACUUGAUUUAGCCUCUCGGUUUGACCUGAAGUCUGGGGAUGAUACGCCGUGCUUCUUAUCAGACUGGUCCCCAAGCUCUUAUGCAUGCGCUCCCAGAAGUGAGCAGUGAACUGCGGUCCUCUAUCCGAUACGAUGGUUUUGGGAAUACCAUGCAAUUUGACGAUCUCAGCCAUAUAUAUAUCAGCAUAUUCGGGAGGUCUGUAUGUGUUCUUGACUGGAAUGAAAUGAGCCGACUUGGUUAAUCGAUCUAUGAUUACCCAAAUCGAGUCAUUCCCCUUCCUGGUUGUCGGUAAGCCGGUGAUAAAGUCCAUACUGACCUCUUCCCAUUUCCACUCCGGAACUGAUAACGGUUGUAACAGACCUGCAGGUUUCAUAUGGAUGGCCUUAACUCUGCAACACGUGUCACAACGGGCCACAUAAGCGGCUAUUUCUUUCUUCAUCUUGGUCCACCAAAAGUGGGGCCUUAGAUCUUGAUACAUUUUGCUGCUGCCAGGAUGAAUAGAAAGCUUAGAGAGAUGGGCUUCAUCCAUGAUGCGAUUCUUCAACUCCCGAUCUUUCGGGACCACUAACCGCUGUUGAAACCACAACACCCCCUUCUCAUCAACCCGAAACUGAGUCUUUGGGUCAUCUUUGGUUUUCUCUUUGAUGUGGAAAAUACCCUUGUCUGUUUUCUGACCUUCAAUGACUUGACUCUCGAGUGAACAACUGAGUUGUAUAUGACAUAAGACCUCAGGAUGCAUAAGAUUGAACCCAUCUUCAAACAACGGUUGAACUAUUUGAUAGUGCGGUUUGCGACUCAAAGCAUCUGCGACCACGUUAGCUUUGCCUGGAUGAUAGUGAACUUCCAGGUCAUAAUCCUUGAUUAGCUCUAACCACCGUCGUUGCCUCAUAUUCAGCUCGGACUGAGUGAAGAUGUACUUCAAACUCUUGUGAUCGGUGUAAAUGUGACACUUAUUUCCCAGUAGAUAAUGUCUCCAAAUCUUCAAAGCAUGCACCACAGCUGCUAACUCAAGGUCAUGCGUUGGAUAGUUGACUUCAUGCUUUCUCAACUGUCGGGAAGCAUAAGCUAUCACCCUGCCAUCUUGCAUCAACACACACCCCAGGCCACUCUUCGAUGCGUCACAAAACACAUCAAAAGGCUUCUCUAUAUUAGGUUGUGCCAGAACGGGAGCAGUGGUUAGCAACUUUCGCAAGGUGCGGAAGGCUAACUCACAUCCUUCUGUCCAGACAAACUUAUGGUCCUUUUGUAGCAAACUUGUCAUUGGCUUAGCAAUCUUGGAGAAGUCAGGUAUGAAACGACGAUAAUACCCGGCCAGACCAAGAAAACUUCUAACUUCCGAGACAGAAGUUGGUGCCUUCCAGUCCAUGACUUCCUGCACUUUUGAUGGAUCCACGGCAAUCCCUUCUUCAGACAAAAUGUGCCCUAGGAACGGAACUUUCUUCAACCAGAACUCACACUUGCUGAAUUUGGCAUAUAACUGAUGCUCUCGUAAUCGGGUCAGCACGAUUCUCAGAUGUUCGGCGUGAUCUUGCUCAUUCUCUGAAUACACCAGGAUAUCAUCGAUAAACACCACAACAAACUUAUCCAAUUCUGGCAUAAAGACUGAAUUCAUCAGAUACAUAAAGUAUGCAGGAGCAUUUGUCAACCCAAAGGACAUGACAAGAUACUCGUACAACCCAUAUCUGGUGGAAAAAGCAGUCUUCGGGAUAUCUUGCGGACGAAUCUUGAUUUGGUGAUACCCGGAUCUCAAAUCUAUCUUAGAGAACACUCUUGCCUUGGAUAACUGAUCAAACAGGAUAUCAAUCCUUGGCAAGGGAUACUUAUUUUUGAUUGUCACUGCAUUGAGUGGACGAUAGUCCACGCACAUGCGCAACGACUGAUCCUUCUUUUUCACAAACAACGCUGGACAACCCCACUCCGACGAACUUGGCCGGAUGAACCCUUUAUCCAGCAACUCUUUUAGUUGAUUCUUCAACUCGGCGAGUUCAUUUGGGGGCAUCCGAUACGGCCUUCUAGAUAUUGGUGCUGUACCUGGUAUCAACUCGAUCGUAAACUCUACCUCCCUAUCUGGGGGAAGUCCUGGUAAAUCCUCAGGAAACACAUCCGGGAACUCACAUACCACGGGUAUGUGUUCUAGAGAGACUACCUGUACUGCACAUGAAAGACUGGCGAAGUCCAACCGUCUAGGUAGCUUGACCUGAAGCACCCCCUUUCCUUGCGGGUCUCUAAGGGAAAGAGUUCUAUUCCCGGUAUCUAUAACCGCGCCCCAAUCAGUCAUUUUGUUCAUCCCAAUGAUGACAUCCAAAACCAGUCCCGUCAUGACCACAAGGUUUACACGGAACCUCCGACCACUGAUAUCCAAGGUAACUCCUGUUACCGUUUUAUUAGUCAACACGUCGGCCCCGGCUGAGCUGAUGCGAUAGCCAUAACCUAACUCAGUAACUGGCUGAUCAUGCUUUUGUGCAAAUGCUUGACUCAUGAAAGAAUGCGACGAUCCAGAAUCAAACAAAACAACUGCAAGAUGUUGGUUGACAGAAAACAUACCAGCUGUUACCGGUUCUCCUUCCGGGAUUUCCUCAAUCGAGGUAUGAUGCACACGAGCUGGAUAGGUUGGCUGCUGCCUCUUGGGGUAGGGACAUUCUUUAGCAAAGUGCCCCAUCUUGUGGCAGUUAUAGCACGGACCCUUGGGCGCAUUGUUGACGGCAGGUGCUGCAGCUUGAAUGGCCUUUGGCUUGGCAGGAGCUAUCGCCACCUUGUACGGCUUCUGCUGUGUUGGAUGCCCGGUGUUCCUUCUCUGCGGUGGUCGGAACCUAGCACCCGGGGCAGGAGGACGAUACUGCUGUCGCCCUGCCACUGGUGCCCUGGACUGGGAUGAUCCUGCUUCAAAAGCCCUUUUACGUGACUUGGACGCACUGUAGUUGUUGUUAUUGUUCUCUUGGGUCAGACAGUCACUGAUAUAGGCAUUGAAAGUAGCCCUGGCCCCGGUACCCAUGGUCUUCAGCAUCUUUGGAUUCAAGCCCCUCUGGAAACUAGCAAUCUUCUUGGCCUCCGUGUUCACAAACUCAGGGGCAUAUCGAGCGAGAUUAUUGAAGGCAUGUAGAUACUCUUUCACAGAUUUCGUCCCUUGGGACAGCCUCAUGAACUCCCCAACCUUCAUUUCAACCAUACCAGGAGGAAUGUAAUUUCCCCGGAAAGCGGUGGUGAAGCGGUUCCAGGUGAUUGGUGUCCCCUCUGGGUAGGUGGUACGGUGAUGGGACCACCAAAUCCCAGCGGGUCCUUGCAACUGAUGUGCCGCAUACUCAGCCUUGAGUUCUUCUGUCAUUCGGAGAAGACGAAACUUCUGCUCCAUGGUGUUGAUCCACUCAUCCGCUUCGAGCGGUUCCAAGGCCUCCUUAAAGAUUGGUGGCUUGGUAUCCAUGAAGUCCUUGAACGAACUGUACUGGUUGACCUCCCGACCACCCUGAUUAUCUCCACGACGGGUGUUGUCAGCUAUGUGGCGCAAAGCUUCUUCCAUGUUGCGCUGCAUCUGUUCCAUGUUGCGUUGGCUUCCCAGAAACUGCGCGAAAAACACAUCCGCAGUGUACGGGGGAGGUGGUGGUGGUGUUGGUGCUUGGUCCUCAUUCCGUUGAGCCCCAUUUCCGGAUGCACCUGCUCCAAGACCCGGAUGGCCGUUACCCCCGCCACGUGUUUGUACCAUCUGCAUACGCCAAUGAUAAGCAAUCGUUAGGAGUUGCCAUCAACCGGUAGGAAAUGUGUAAAAUCGUGCCAUACUGAAUUUACUGAGGGAAUAAAUUCACACAAUAAACAAAGGCACAACAACUCAUCAUCCACGCACAACAUCACUAACAGAUUACUUAACAUUCACGCAACAAGGUUCGCGUACAUCCAACUUGCCAGCCUACAUACACUGGACUUUCAGCAUCAACUCAUAAAGUCUUACACAGCCCAGAUCCAAAAGUACAUGACAUGCCACGCAACAUACAUCACAAAAGAGGAAAGACUAGCUCUAGAGCCCUAGCAUCUAGUCGCUAUGAUCACUGUCCAUGCCAGAGCCAUCCUCAUCCUCGUCACCACUAGCAGCUACUCCUAUCUCGGGAUCCGCGUCCAUCUCGUCCUCAGAGUCUAGCUCCGCUGCUCCAGGCAGGUGGUGAGGGUGGAGCUGGUUAUGCAGCUGGUGGAUCUCCUCAUGCAAGUUCUCAUUGUACUCCUCGGCAUUAGCUAGCUGCUGCUCUAGCUCCAGCUGUCGGGCCCUCAAAGUGUCCUCCUCGUGCCAGGCUUCAUUCCUCUGUCCAAGCACAUGGACUAGCAUGCGCUCGCAGUUCCUGUGAGCAGUAGUCACCCUGUCCCUCUGCUCUCGCACUGCAAGCAGGUCCUGACUCAGCUCACUGUUCUUCUGGACUGCCUGGUCUCUCUCUCUUGUCACACGAGCCAACUCUGCCUGUAGCCUCUCAACCUCAGAGUCAAACUCACGCUGCAACUGACGCUUCUCAUCCUGGACGGUGAGAAGAGACCCGGACAAGCGACCCAAACAACGCUCCAGGCCUCCAUAGGUCUUCAUCAACGCGUACAUGGCACUCAUAGCUGCACUGUCACUGUGCUGGUCCUCAUCCGCACUCCUCUCUAGAGCAUUCACCUCGGACUGAUCCCACACCGAAGUGUAAGGGUCACCCCGGGGAAACACCCCAGCGAAGGCGUGGGCCAGCUCCUGUGGAAACCUCUCCAUGAGGUCCCUCAGAACUGCGAAAGCUGCCCUGCUGGCACCGUGGAAAGGCGUGACACCUCGGGACUCGUACACCCAACCGCCCCAAGCAGGGUCUCCUCCACUGGUAGGGACAACUGCCUCGAUCCCCACCAGGGUCUCGUCACCAAGCGGCUCCUUAUCCCAAUAGUAGCGAGGCUCCCUUCCUUCGGGAUACCCCAUCGAACUGAGCACCCUCCAAAGCAAAGUGGGCAUCCCAAACUCCUCUAGGAACUUGCUCUUAUGUCGCGAGCUCCUAGCUGCCAACGGAUGGCGAGGGGCCCGCCCACCAGUGGACUUGCGAGCGGUGAGCCUAGUGCGUGCCAUCUGCUGCAAAUGGAAUACCGUGGGUAAGAGCGAGGAUUACCUUUAAUUAUUUUAUUUAGAAUUGGGACAGAUUAAAUUAAGGGGGAAGUAAGCAAUGAUAUGAAAUGAACAUGAUGCAUGCACGAACUUACGAUCUCACAAACUUUAGAAAACCAAGGUUAACACUAAGCGGUAUACGCGGUGGCAUACAACGUUCUCUCAUAACGUAACUAGCGUUCUAAGCGAGAAUGUGGUUAGUGUACCUGCAGAAAACUCAUUUUAGCCCACCCACAAUAUGACCAUGCAGAGCAAGAAUUUAAAACCAUGCACUUCACAUACACAGACACCCGUCCAUGCAUGUGACGUGCCACUACCCACAUCAUCGCCCUAUUGACGGCAUCGCCUCUCAGGACGGAAUUCCCAGCAUGCGGUACUGUUCCCAAGACACACCAACCUGUGUGCAUGACACAGCACCUGACAACACUUCCCUAGACCGGCAGUGUAUCCGAUCAUGCUCUCACAACUCCCACUUACCAUGGCGUAGAGGAAGAAUUGAUCCAUACAUUACCACUCAAAUGAAUGGCACUCAUACCAUUGCACGCCGUAUGAGCGACGAAAUAAAAAUAUGAUGCAUUAACCCCCAAGUCAGUACUUAGCUAGCCACCUUAGAGUCCUUAACUGGGCAUAAAGGAUAUGACCAUGGCACACUAGAUAAUUUUCCCAAAACUUAGUUUAACACCUUGAUCAUUCUUAAUUAAUUAAUAAAAUCUUUUACUAAACCGGUUUAGACUUUUGUUUAAACAUACUUAUGAACAGUAACUCGCUAAACCUUGCUCCGAUGCCAGCUGUAACAGAACCGACCAAAUUAUAAGAGAUUAAGCCUAAUAGUGACCAUUUGCAUAGUCGAACCAUCACGCUUAAGCCCAUAUAAUCCCGGUAGUCCGUGAAAUCUCGAAGGAUUUCAAACCACACAUCGCAUACAGCCAAGAUCGUAAUAAGUUUAGCGGUCGCCAUCCACAAGUACAUCCAAAUUACAACAUUCAUGAAACACAUCGGAGUGCUUAUAGUUAUUACAAACCAAGUUCUUCAAGUAGCGGAAGCUUCAUAUUUCGAAAAUACAACACACACGAUAAGUCUGAUACAGUGCCAUAGUUCGGUCAUUCCCACAAAAGCAAAAGAAGAGACAGAGUGACCAUCGCCCUUGGUCUAGUCAUCACCCAUAGCUGGGUACAGACAGAGGAUGCAAUAACCAUAGUACAUCUGACCAUCUGCAAAACAACAUGGGAAUAGAACCCUGAGUACGAGAAGGUACUCAGCUAGACUUACCCGUCAUAAACUUAAAAUAAAGACUCAUCAAGGAUCAUGAAGGCUAUUUAGUGGGGUAGCUGACAACCAUUUUGCAAAGACCGCAAGGUUUUAUUACCCGAACCUACAUAAAUCUUUUCUUCUUUUAAUCUGCUCAAGUUGAAAGUAUCAUUACCUAUUCUCUAGGUUUGCACCUGUGCUAUUACAAGCAAGUAUGAGACUAUGAUAGUACCUCAUCACAGCAAUCAUAAACCCGUUUCAUUAUAUCCCAAGUGUUCCAUAGUCCUUACUACGAGGACGAAGCUCAUGUCAAGUGCUCACUAUCCAGGAGCGAUGGCGAUUCGAAUCGAUUUCUAACCAGCUGGCGACUUUAUUCCCCACACAAACCACACUCACUGAUCAAGUGAGCUACAGGUCACCGUGUUGCACUAUCCAGGACCAAUUCGCGGGUUCGACAGGCACCGCCCGUACCCGAGGACCGUUCCGGCGACCGAGGUAUCCAAGGUAUACCAAGGUUGCGCGCCGCGCCCUCGUCAUUCUCCUCGACCAUCACCAAUACAGCGCGUACAUCGGGCCGAUUCCCGGCCCGGAUAGUGCUCAGGCUUCGCGGUCGGAACGACUUAUCCUUCCAGCUAAAUGUGGGGCAUGCGUUCAACAUGACAAGAGGGCCGUCAACGAUCGGUCCUUAAUCGACACAGACAGGGGCACUAUGGUCAACCCACCAUAAGUCUCUGCCCGGUCUCCAAAUUCAUUCCACCCUGGGUUAUUCUUUUCCCCGAGCAACCAAUGCUUAAUCAAGCAGGUAUCCACCUAUAUCUCGCAGGUGACAGGGAAUCACCCGACUUCUACCGGGCUAAGCAAGCUAAGCAUAGACUCCGUGCCUGUCUACAUAGGACAAGGUAGUUGAAUGAGUAGGAAUAACAAGGAGUACUCAUGCAGCAACGGUAUCAGGCAACUCCUAUUACUUAUAUGCAAUAUAGUAGAACCAGUGUAAUAUAUAUAGUAAGUUAGCGAGAAUAGGGAGACUUAGAAUGCUCCGGGGCUUGCCUUUCUCAAAGGUGCUGGGUCGGUGAUUCGGACACUCUUGCAAUUCCUCUCCGGUUUCCUGUGCUUCCGGAGGUUCCUGCUCCUGUAUCUCCUCGGGUUCCUCGGGUCCCACUUCGUUCUCCUGCGAGCCUGUAUGAUGCAUAUAUGCUCAUGAGUGGCGUGCGAGAUGCCCGAGUGGAUGCUUAUAUGAGAGAGUACCAAAGGAGUCAUGUUUAUGAUGCAUAGGUAAUGCACUUGGUCAUGCUUAUUACAAGGUAGUCAACAUCACCCAAGAAUAAACAAUUGAACCAAACACCUAUUACAUUCUCUUCUAUCAUUAUUUUUCAAAUGAAACCAGCAACCUCUAUGAUGCUUCAAAGAUACACCAAACCCAACUUAUUCCAUUCAACUUAUAUACAUAACCAUUCAUCAUUUUUCUUUAUUCAUUUCUAAGCCCAUUAAAAAUCACAUGCAAUUCUGUUCAUCAAUAAAUUCCAGAAAAAUUACAGGAGACUACUAGUUAAUCACAAAGUUCACUGUAAAUUUUUCAUAAUUUUUGGUUACUUAUUUUGAGCCACAAAAAUCACAAGAUUAAUGGAUAAGGCAAGUAUAAUCACCCUACUGUGAUAUAAGUGUCAAACAACAGAUUUCAUAUUUUUACAAUUUGUCUAAUAUCAUAAGAAACAUCCACAAAAUUUUCCAGAUUUAUUGCAUGACUCAAUUAAUUAUUAAAAAUCAUAAAGUACUGCCAUGCAAGCAUUUAAAUUACCAUAAAUUCAUUUAUACACCAAAUAAUAUGUAACAAUAUUUUCUCAGUGAGUAAACACACAUGCAGAGCCAGCAAAACAAGUUUCACAUUUUUCUGAGCCAUAUUUCAUUUACUAUGCAUUUUCCAAGUUUAACAAAAACAUGGAUUAAUUAUACUUACACAGAAAAGUCACUCAAACAUGACAUGCAAUCAUACGAUAUAGAUCUGGAAAUAAGGAACACACCAAAAUUUAUUUCACCAUUUUUGGAGCUAUAUUCAUCAAGAUAUGGAUUUUUGAACAUUUAAAUCAUUUUCUGGAAAAACUUUUAAAACGAAAAACCACCUAAAACGCUAAACGCACCCGGAUCCAUUCCCUCGGAGUCACUGACAGGCGGGACAAGCGAGUCAGAGGACCCCACCUGUCAUCCACCCCGGGACCCCGCGGCCAAAGAUCGGCCGGAAUCUCGCCGCCGGUGAGGUUUCCGGCGACACCGUGAGCACCUACGGCUUCGCGCGAACGAGACGAGUCCAGCCGUACCCUCUUUGGCACCGGACGAGCACCGGAACUACCUCGCCGUCGUGAAUGGCGGACGCGGCGGCGCUGCUCGCCGUGGUCCGGCCGUUUCACGGCGGUAGAGCGCGAGCCACUAACGGGAAAAGGUGCGCGAGGUCACGGCGGACCCAAAGCACCUACGAGCGCAAGCAGAGACAGAGAGGAGGGGGAGAACCGCGCGAGCCGAGAGGUCGCCGGAGCUCCGACUUACUCCGGUGAGCUCUAGCGGACACGCAGGGCUUACCAAGCGCGGAAGAGCGCGAGCACGCGACGCGGAAGGACGAGGCGGAGCCGGUGGUGGUCGCGAAGGGGAAGAAGAGGGCCGGAGCUGGCCGGGAGAGGAGCUCCGAGCCGUCGGCGGCUAUGGCGUGCGGCGGAGCGGCGAGCGCUGCGCGAGAGCGAGAGAGCGAGAGAGAGAGAGAGCUGAGGGGCGCAAAUGGGAGCGGGGGCGGAGGCGAGCGCGACCGGGGGCACCUGGUGGCCGACCAGGGCGUCUCCACGCCGUCGCAUGCCCGCCACGCGGCGGCCGAGCCCUGCCGGCGUGCCACGGCGUCGCGGCGAGCGCCGUCCGCGCGCGGACGCGGGCGCGAGCGCGGGGAAGGGGGAGGGGAGAGCGCGGGCGGGCCGAGCCGGCUUCGGCCAGUGGGCCAGAAGCGAGGCCGCGGCCUGCUAGCGCCCCCUUUCUCCUUUUUCCAUUUUUUUUUAAUUUCUUUUCUCAAAUUCUCUCAUAAAUUCAUUUGGACCAAUUUAAAAUCAUUUUCACCUCUUGCUCCCAAAAACAAAGUUGUUCCAAAACAAAAACCCUACCACUUUGCUUUAACAAGCAAGACCAAAUUCCAAGCAGAAUUUGAAUUACAAGUUAAACUCAGUUCUAGGUUUCAAAUAAAUUCUUUUUGGGUAUUUUUGUAUAAAUUCCAUUUUCUCAAUUUCCAUAGCUCCAAAAAUUGCACAAAAAUAUUCUAAAUUCUUUUCACACAUGAAUCAACCAAAUUUGAAUUUUUCACAAUUUUAGAAGCAAGCAUCAUAUUUUAAACAUAUUUAGAACACAUGAGAUGAUGCACAUAAAAUCAUAAUUUGGCAAGAGUGUCAUGCUCAUGAUGCUUAUGCUUGAUGGAAUGCUUAUGCAUGGCUUUGGUGAGACUAAGUGCAUGCUUAACACCUAGGGUGUUACAGUUGUAAUCUUGUUUCUCACGAUGUAUGACUACGAUAACAGCUGAUAUAUGAUAAUGCGAUGGUUCAAUUUUUGAAUUAUCACAUUAUAAUUCGAAUCUGUGGAUUUUUCCCUUUGUGGAAAAAUCUGGGUCGUUUCAGUUGGUAUCAGAGCCAUACUUGACCCUAGGACGAGACCUUUAGGACCAAACACUAGUUUAGAAGCCAAACAUUCUAUCUUUUGUAGAGUUAUAGAUGCUAACACUUGUUUUCCCCCCCUCCGCCUUGAAUUCUACUGCUAACUGACCUCCCUGUUUCAUAAAGUUGACCGUUGGAAUCUUUUCCCAUUACCGCCCACGCUAGAUCGGUAGUCGUGUGAGACUUUGAAGGUCUGUGAGUCGCCUCAAGUCAACACUAUGCAUUAGGAGUUGUAAUGCUGUUUGAGUGCCUGGAUCUUAUGUUGUUGCAUUUCUUCUGCUUCUUGAUGUCUGAGUGUAAGUCAUAGAACCUGUUUUACGCGGGAAAAACUCUGGAUUCCGUCCAACCUAGUCGGCUAAACCUAAGACCGUCCCGAGACUAGAUAGGUGGCCCUGACUAACAAAGUUAAAAGUUAGGUAAAGCUGUUGCAUUAUGUGUUGCUCGCCUAUUUCAAAACUGUUUUUGGCUUCCAAAAUGAACCUGUCUUCAAAAUUUUCUCUCCUUUUGGUUAAAAUGUCCCCUCUCUAACAAAAGCAUCCUUGUUUCAAAAGGAAAAGUGUUUCAAAACUCUCUUAAUAUCUUUCAUUUUCACAAAGAGAGCCAUUUUAACCCUUUUCUCAACUCAAUUUUAUUCAAACUCUAUUUAUGAAAUGAUUUAAAAAUAAGUUAUCUUUCAAAAGGUAUGACAAAAUCGCUUCAGAAAAACAAAAGUUUUGAUUUUCAACAACAAAGUGGUUUUCAAACCAAAGAUUUGGCUCGGCUUUGUUUUAAAGGUCUUUGAUUUUAUCUCGAGAGCCAAAUUCCUUUUUAAAAAUCAACCUUCUCUUAAAAAGAAAAAGGAAUUGCCAGUGAUUUAUUAAACAAAAACCAUUGCAAAAAGAUUUUGUUUGCGGCCUUCCAAAAAAAAAAUUUAGCAAAAACAAAAUGAACUUACAAGUUUUGAAAGAAAAUGUUAUUAUUGUUAAAGCUUUAUCUUUCAAAAGAGAGAAAUGAUUUCUAAUCAUUUUCAAAACUAGUUUGUUUAGUUCAAAUAAAAGAGAGCAACGCCUCAUUUAGAAAACUAAAAGAGUUUCAAAGUCUCUUGAUUUGAAAUCUUUUACAUCAAAAAUCUUAAAAUAAUAAUUAUAAUAAAAUAAAUAAACUUGGUUUUCAAAAUUUGCGCUGAUUUCAACCCUUUCCAAAAGCUAUUUUCAGUUUGAGCUCUCUUUAAAAUCCAUUUGACUUUGUAAAAUCGCUUUCACUCCAUUUAUGAAACCUGUUUUUCCGAAAAACAUUCCUUUCAAAAGCUUUUUGCAAGAGUGAUGCACGAAAAACAGCUAUUGAAAGCCAACAACCCUAGCUACGUUUAAGCCUGCCAUGCACUCUUUGAGAGCCAGAUGUUCAUCAACCCCGUGCGAUUCUUGGACACCCAUCGCCCUGAUGUGAAAAUUUGGAUGCCCAACGACUGCAAGUGAGCCUUGCAUACACUUGGAACAAGAGUCACUCCCAUUUUGGAAAAAGUUUGUGGAGCGAUCAUACUAAAAGCAAAACAACUCAAAAGUAAGAAGAACUUCUGAAACGACGCCCUCGUUUCUUCACCAACCGAGCAACGCCUAAAUCUCGGGGACGAGAUUCCUGUAAGGAGGGUGGACUGUAACAUCCCGGAUUUUUACGAAAACCAAAAAUACGAGCUUUUUAAAAUUUUUUCAUGUAAUCGUGUGAAUCAUAUAGUUUUUAGAUCUAACUCGAUCCUAACCCGCUAACAAAUCGUGGCAUACAUAUAGAUUUGUUUCUAGGCGAGUGCUUUUGUUCGUGAGUCGUCUUGAGUUGGGUCUUGUUUAGGGUUUUGAGUUUCUUUUGGAGUGCACAAAUCCUUAGCAAAGUAUUCCCAUAUCUCCGUUGAGCCUAUCUCAAAGGCGAAGCGAAUCCUUUCUCAAUCUUUUUAUUGGAGUACGUCUCAAACUCCUUUAAUCCAUUUUGAACUCUUUUCCAAAUUCCCUUCUCCAAAACUUUUCUCUUGUUGAUCUCAUCACCAAAUCUCUGCCGCUAAAUCUAUCUUAAAUUCGUGGUGACUCAUCUCAAUCUCUUUUCCCUUUCCCGCUCAAUCAUUUUAGCAAAUAGUGGAAAAUCCUUCAAUUCCUUUCUCCAAAUAGAAAUUGGAAUAUUCUUUUCCCUCUCUGUCUCCUUGAAAUAUAAAUGGGAAGAGCAUUCUUAUUCCUCUUGGGCUCAACCCCUCAACCAGCCCACCACUCCUUCCCCCUCUUUUUCCCUCACCGCCAGCCCAGCCAACCAUCUGGCCCAGUCGGCCUCCCCAACCCCCCCGCGGCCUAGCACCCUCGCGCAGCCCACCUCCCGCAACCGGCCCAGCCAGGUCGGCCUGCCUCGCUCCCCUGCCCUGGCCCAAGUCGCGGCCGGCCCAGCAGCCGCGCCCCACCUCUGCCCUAGGAGCGGAACGCUCCCAGGCAGAGCCGCCGCCGCCGCCGCUUCAAGGAGGAGAAGACCCGCGCGCGCCCCCGACGUCCAUGCCCACCCGCUUGAUCCACGCCGCGUGUCCCGAUGCGGACACGGACGCCGAGGAUGACCGUGGCUCCCCCUAGAACCCUAGCCUGGCGCGUAUAAGAGCCCGAGCCGCCACUCUCCUCUUCUUCCUCCAAGCCGCCGCCACUGUUGCCUUUCUCCCUCACUGCUGCAGCAGCUCGCCCUGGUGCGCUCCAUCGAGCCCCCACCGUCGCCACGCCGACCCCGCCCUCGUCCGGCGACCUCGACGCCCCUGCUGCGACGCCGAGCUGCCGCGACGCCGAGCCGCCGCGACGCCAAGCCCCCUCCCGCAGCGCUUCGCCACCGAGCUCCGGCCGAAUCUCCGACGACCGCGUCUUCGUCCUCGCCACGGUCACCAGGAGCCCACGACGUCCGCGACGACCUCGUCUUUACGAGCCUCGGCAGCGGCCACGACCUCGACGCCCCAGCAGGAGCUCCGCGCCCUCGCCGAGCACCUCGCCCCGGGCCACGACGCCGCCGAGCACCGCCGAGCCGCACCGCGACCCCGACGCCGUGCUCGCGCCCCUUCCUCUGCGCCAAGCCUCGACCCCGACCACACCGGAGUCGACAUCAAGCGACGCGACGCCGCACGUCCUCGACAAGGACUUCACCGAGCCCCUCGCCCAGGAGCCCACGACGACGCUGCACCGGAGCCGCCCGCCACGUCGAGCUCGCCCCGCUCCGACCCCUGCAGCCGCAACGCCGAGCAGCAGGACAGCGACACCGACCUCGCCCCGACCACGACGUCGCCCGCAGCCACGCAUCACCGAACGCCACCCCGACGUCGCCCGAGCCCUUGGCCACGUGCUCGCCGCGGUCCCCACCCCGACAGCAGCGUGGUAGCCGCGACGUCGCUGCGGUGACCAAGCACCACGACCACGUUCGGCGUCCAUGGCUCCGUCCUCGACUUUGAGCCCGUGACCAUCGAGCCGAACCGCGACACAGGCCCGUCGAUCUGCUCCCAACGCCGAGCGGAGGACCACCCCGACGCCUUCGUCCACGACCGCGACCUGAAGCCUGCCAUCUGCGAGGUCGAAACCCCCUAAACCCUAGCCGACGUUGGAACUCCGUAUUAAUUCAUAUCUGUCCAUACAUCAUUUCGUUAUCUGUCGUUUGUACAUGAUCAUUCAUCUCAUAUCUUGUCUAAUGCAUGAUCUAUCUUCGUCUAUAUCCAUGCCUGUGCCGUGCCUUCGUGCCGGUCUAUUUAUCUAUUUACUUAUCUAUCUCUAUCUCUCGUGCUAUGGAAAUGUGCUACUUCGAGAUAUCGUCGUGUUGGUGUUGUUGUUUAGUCAUUUGUCAAGUUGUGGUUCUUGCGGGUUGUGUGGUUCUUGUCGCUUUGGAUCGUGCCUUCGAGCCGGUCGGGGGAUCGUAAUACGUUUGAUCAUUUCGAUCGUGGGUUCGUCCCACCGUGAUCGCGAUGCCGAGCGUAACUCGUUUCCCGUGUUCAGUUGACUCUGUCGUGCCACGGUCGUUAGCUCUUGUUCUUGUCCCGCAGACAUGGUCAUCGUGGACUCGAUGUCUUUAUCGACGCGGUUCUUAUCCGCACACUCGAGACCUAAGUGACCUAGUCUAGUGGGAUACGAAUUAGAGGACAACCUUUGUGGGACUUACGAAAGCCAACUCGUUAGGUGGAGCUCAUGGCCGCGAGUCACCUCGCCAUGGUUAUCGGGUUUUACCUAGUUUCUCGCAUGUUUAUCUUAUUCGUCUCGUAUGCUUAUGCCACCUAGACCCGGGCAUUUCCCAAGUUCCCGCGAUGACAACCGCAUCACCUGGAACUAUAGGAAUGACCUUCUGCUGACUCAGAGGCACCUAGGUCGUAAAGUGUUAUGAGUUGGUGUAGAUUGUGGGCUCGAAUCUCUUUUAUCCAACCGUUGUUCGUUCCAUGGCGAGUUGGUCGAAAGAGUGUGAUUCGUUCUUCUUCUUCUCUCUUGUUCUCAAUCCCGUCGAGCCAGUAAGAUGUGGAUUAAGCCUCUUUUGCUUGUUUGAUGUUUCGUUUCCAAUCCCGCGAUUCUCGCUGUUGCUAUGGCGAGUGGGUCACACGAAGAUGAAUCUUGUAUCCCUUCCCUGCCUUUUUGGUUCUUUGUGCUUAAACUCUUGUAUGCUUGUACUUAAUCAACCGUAGCAUUUCUUUGGUUCUCGCGGUGACAACCGCACCGCUAAGAACCUUAGUGAUGUCUUAGUGCAUUUAGUGCACCUAGGUUGUGGCGCCCUACAAGUAGUUUGAGCACUCGUGUCCUUGGUGUGUCACUCCCUCUUAUGCCCUGUCUUUUGCCGUGGCAUGAGUAUUGGAAGGAGUAGACCACUUCCCUUCUUCUUCUCUCUUUAUUCCACCCUCUCUUGGCUCUCGCCAACUACAAUGGCGUAUGGGUUGAGAGAGACCGGAACUUCUCGUGCUCAUAGUCUUUACGAUUCCUGUCGAUCUCUAUGACACUUGGAUCGAAAGACCGUAAGCUGUGGUGUUUUCUUAGAAUGAGUUAGAGUCUAAGCCAUUUAUUAAAGUCGUACAGGUCGACACGAUCGACCCGGGAAGUACCGGCUAGGCUAAGACUCAAGCUUGUACUUGGUGAACAACCAUUUCCGUUUCUUUUAGCCCAGGGAUCGGACACCCACCGAGAGGGCUAAGCCGUUUUCCUUUCGGUGCUCUUUCAGUGUAGUUGUGCUUCAGUGUUUUGUCGCCUCUUCUCACAGUCUUUCUAGGACUAGUGGAUUGAUUGUUUCGCCUUGUUUGUCGUUUACGAGGUAGUUGCUUCGGGUAGCGUUGAUCGAAUCGGAACCAGUUGAAGGAAGGACAUGCAGAUAGGAGAAAGACCUUGGAUGAGUACAACUACAAGUGAACUGAGGAUCUUGGAAAUGUCACUCGACAGGUGCCACGUCCCACCCAACCUCGUAGAAUCCUAUUAGACAUGCAAUAUUAUAGAUGCUAGUGCUUUACUUUUAUGCAAAUGAACUAUGAUAGGUUGCAUGGUAGAAAUGCUUGUGAGCCAUUGCCUUGUUGCAACCUAUAACCCUCGCACACCCGCUGUUAGGUUAGAUGCUUGCAUACUACUUGCUACUGCUUCUACUACGCAUUAUAUCUGUGAUGUGAUGCAUUGUGGAGGAUUGGAUGUGAGUGGAUAAGGCACGUGUGCCGAUAACUGGUUAAGAAAUGGAUAAUGGAUAUGGGGAGAUCUUGGCGUGUGUCUUGGGUGUGUGGUGAGGGUCGAGUCGACCGAGCAGGAUUUACGACGAGUCUUGGGACAAGUCUUGCCGGGGAACGCUACCUGGGCGUUCUCCAUGAGAGAUACCUGUGGCGGGUACAUGUGACAGGGAGAGGUCCCGGAGUGGAGUGUCUUCGUGGGACGAAGCACCGGGAUGGGAGGUGCUGUAUAGCACGGGGUAGCCGGGUGUCCCGUCGAGAGGGGCAUCGGCUGGCUCCUCGUGAAGAUGUCCUGUUCGGUUACCCUAAGGACUGAGAUGUUCUGAGAACCGGUUCGUAGGAAGCCUUACACGCCACUCGCCUUAUUAUGGUGCGGGACGGAUGUACGACCAGCUAGUGCGGUGCCACUACUACUAGGUUGAUAGCGGAUAGUGUAGGGAGGUACGGGCAUGAGGACCCACACCCUCCUAAGACAGCGUAGUGACCUUUGGGGGCCCGGUACUACGCCUCACAGUCUCAGCAUGCCGGUGGUACUCCGGUAUGGCCCCAGUCCUGAGUGGUAGGGUGGCAUCGUAUUUAGUUGGAAGGCAGCCCGGUAUCAGCCUAGACGAGCCGGUUCGUCGAUGAUGGUGAUCUUGUGGUUAGUGUAAACCUCUGCAGAGUUUGGUUGAUCGAUCGAUACAUAUGCCGUCUUCUCGGCUAUGGACCUUUCCUAUGUUCCGCUUCGCUUGACUAGUGAGAGGAGUCCUUUCUACCUCCCCCUGGGUUUGUGUUGGAUCCGGCGUUGGCCGUUGAGGCAAGGCACGAGCGGGAGUCGUACUUGCCGCCUAGAGAGUGAGAGUGUGGUGAGAUGUGUGUGAUGGGAUGGAUGGAUGGAUGUGUGGAUGAGAUGGAAUAAAACUUGAUGAAUUAUUAUUAUAAAAUAUUGAUGAACUUGCAUAGGAAAAACUACAGCUAUACAUAGGCCUCUUGAUAUACCCUUUGCAUUUCCACCUACCACAAAGCUACGCAAAAGCAUAGGGUGGGAGCCAGUGGCCAGUACAAAUCGUACUGAAAAUUGUUUAGCAGGUUUUGAACGUGAUCUAUGACGAUAACUACGGAGAAUAGAAGGAUUAGGUGGUCUCGUUCCUGCGCUCAAGUUUGGUUCAGAGAUGAAGGCUGCGCCCGCUGAUAAACUACGCCGACUCUGAUGAUUGUCCGUGAAGGAGGAGCCUUCACCGCUGUCGCGCUACAUCGACUCUGACAAAGACUCGCGUGUGUUUCCGCUAGAAAAACAAUGUAAUAAGCUUGUUAAUCAAGAGUUGUAAAGCAAAUGUGUUGUAAUCUUGUUUCUCACGAUGUAUGACUACGAUAACAGCUGAUAUAUGAUAAUGCGAUGGUUCAAUUUUUGAAUUAUCACAUUAUAAUUCGAAUCUGUGGAUUUUUCCCUUUGUGGAAAAAUCUGGGUCGUUUCACCCUGCAAUGAUCCCAACACCACAUGCCUCAUCAUGUAUUUAUUUCACAUGUGAACAAGCGACAUCAGUGUUGUCAAAAAAAAAACAAGCAACAUCAGCUUCGCUAGAUCGAGUGGCACCACUCAUUUAUAUAGCUUUGUAAAGUUGUUUAACGUUUCAUUGUCCCCCUUUUUUUGAAGAAAUGUUGAUGAUAUGUGAAUUGACAUAUCAAGAGUUCGAAUAAUACUGCAUUUAAUUGAUCUAAAAAAAAUAAUACUGCAUUUAAAAUAGUCUUUCAAAAUUUAUAGAAAAGAUAAACAUAAAUAAAUAUGUAGAACUUCUGUCUUCGUGCUUCCAUGAAUAUUUUACGGAUAUUUUUCCUAUGCAACGCAGAUCACAUUUGCUUCUUUUGCCUAAUGCUGCACAUUUGGUAGCACACAGGCAAUCAGAAAAAGAACAAAUCCUACAAAUUUCAUACUUCCUCCAUCCCAAAUUGUAAGUCAUUCCAAGAAUCUUAGAAAGUCAAACUUUUCUAAGUUUGACCGAAUUUAUAUGAUAAAAUAAUAAUUAUUAUGAUAUUAACUAAGUAUCAUUAGAUUCUUUCUUAAUUAUAUUUUCAUAGUAUACUCACUUUACGUUACAAUUCUUAGUAUUUUUUUCUAUAAUUUUAGUCAAACGUAAAAAUGCUUUGACUCUACAAGAUUUUUGGAAUGACUUACAAUUUGGAUGGAGGGAGUACUUGCGAAAUACCCAUUUCAUCAGGGCCUUGUUUACUUCCAAAUUUUUUUGCAAAAUAGGAAUAACAGCACUUUCGUUUGUAUUUGACAAAUAUUGUCCAAUUAUAGACUAACUAGGCUCAAAAGAUUUAUCUCGUCAAUUUUGACCAAACUGUGCAAUUAGUUUUUAUUUUCAUCUAUAUUUAAUACUCAAUGCAUACGUCUAGAGAUUUGAUGUAACGGGGAAUCUUAAAAAUUUUGCAAAAUUUUUGGGAACUAAACAAGGCCCAGUUUGGAAAGCUAAAACUUUGACCCAUUUCUCCAACCUCGGGAUCAGGCCUAACUGAAUGUAACGUCUCAAAUGAACCAAAAUCCUCAGCCCCAACUGGGCCAGAUGAGGCCCAAAACUUCGAUCUGAACGGGGCCCAACUCGUCACCGUUCAAUUUCCUUCCCCGUCGGAUACAACAGCCCGCCAACCGCAGCCGUCCGAUCGGUUACAAACCCUAACCCUAGCGAGCAGAGAAAAAACCCUCGCUCUCCCAUAAGUACUCUCCUCUCGCCGCGCCGCCGCCGCCACUUCCUUUCUCCUCCCCACCUCGGCGGCCGGCCUCCUCUUCUUCUCUUCACCCACACGCAGGUCAUCGAGGUAGGCUUUGCUGCGCCAGCCUCCGCCUCCCCCCCUCCCAAACCUAGCCCGCGCGCGGGCGCGGAUCUGAGUUUUCGUUGGGCUCUCUGCGCAGAUGUCGGCGGCGGAGGCGAAGGCGGCGGUGGUCCCGGAGUCUGUGCUGCGGAAGCGCAAGCGGGAGGAGCAGUGGGCAGCGGACAAGAAGGAGAAGGCGCUCGCGGACAGGAAGAAGGCGCUCGAGAGCCGCAAGAUCAUCUUCUCCCGCGCCAAGCAGUACGCCCAGGAGUACGACGCCCAGGUAACCACGCUGUGUGCCCUCUUUUCUUUCGAUCUCGCAGUUCCUUGCUGCUCCCUGCUCUGCUUAAUUAGCUGAAUAGUGUUGCUACCACGAUGUAGCGUCUGCGUCCGAUCUGGCGAGUUGAUUUUUUUUGUUUCAUAUAAGAAUCGCAUCCGUCUGAAAUUGGUGUGCGCGUAGCAGUGUUGGAUCGAAAUGGGUUUGCUGCACUGUUUUUGACAGUUAUAUCUAGUCACCAUGUUGAUCGAUGUUGAUCGUGUCUGUUUCAGUUGGGAUAUAAGAUAACGUUGCUGUUGGGAUAUAGGAUGACAUUGCCGAUUAGUACUUGUUGUGAAAGAGUUCUGCUUUCUGUAUUAAUAAGGUACGACCUUAGAGAAUCUGUUGUGAUAUAUUUGCACUUCGUGCAGGAGAAGGAGCUUGUGCAGCUCAAGCGUGAGGCCCGGCUGAAGGGUGGGUUCUAUGUAAGCCCAGAGGCCAAGCUUCUGUUUGUGGUCCGCAUCCGUGGGUAUGGUUCUGUCUCAUCACUUUGCAGAUUCUCUUGCAAUGCUCAAGUGUUGAUUGUUGUCAAAUGUGAUGUGUAGUAUCAAUGCCAUGCACCCCAAGACCCGCAAGAUCUUGCAGCUCCUGCGUUUGAGGCAGAUCUUCAAUGGUGUCUUCCUCAAGGUUAACAAGGCAACCAUUAACAUGCUGCGCAGGGUGGAGCCAUAUGUUGCGUAUGGGUAAGUUUGUAUAAAUUUAGCUGCCACCCAAAGGAUGUUGGAACACAAUUAUGUUGCAUUGUUCACUUAUUCUUGGGCUUAUAGUUUUCUGCUAGAAUUGCUGUUGGUUCAUGUUGUGAUUUCUUAGUUGAGGUGUAAAAAAGUGCCGAUUUGUCAUUUUUUUUAUCUUUUUCACACAUCUAUGUUGUUUAUUCAAUUUAAAUUAACAUGUUCAUAAAAAUGUUUGUGCUUUGUGUUUUUCUGUUCUUGAGGAAAGGCAAAUAUAUUUGCCAAAUCUUAUUGCUGCGUUGGUUAUUCAGGUUGCUUCUGGGUCCAAAGAAUGGAACAUGAAUUCAAUUUGUUUAGCCACUUUGGUUCCUUUAUUAACUGUACUGUAACCUGUAUAUUGACGUGAUAGAUGUACCAACUUUUCCAGAGUUGCAUUAGUUAUUCCAUAUUCACAUAAAACUGGCCUGCAGGGCCAGAUGCCUGAUUUUUUAAAAAAUCGGAAGACAGAAAUUCCACUUAUUAAUUUGAUGUCCUGAAGUCUGAACAUCCAUGUUUCAUUUCCAGAUACCCGAACCUGAAGAGUGUUAGGGAAUUGAUCUACAAGAGAGGUUAUGGGAAGCUGAACAAGCAGAGGAUUCCACUUAGCAACAACAAUGUCAUCGAGGAGGUUUGCCAUCUACAACUACUGUGCUGAUUCUGAUCAGAUCCACAUUUGAAUUUCAGCCUUAAAUAUUUUUUGUUUAUGUUCUGUUCAUUAGGGCCUUGGGAAGCACAAUAUCAUCUGCAUUGAGGACCUUGUGCAUGAGAUCAUGACAGUUGGCCCACACUUCAAGGAGGCCAACAACUUCCUCUGGCCAUUUAAGCUGAAGGCGCCCCUGGGUGGCCUCAAGAAGAAGAGGAACCACUAUGUGGAGGGUGGUGAUGCCGGCAACCGUGAGAACUACAUCAAUGAGCUCAUCAAGAGGAUGAACUAGUCUCUUGUAUCCCGUGAGAAUGCAUUCUAUGUCAGCAUGGUUGUUUUACUCUAGUAAGUUGAUGGAUAAUGAUGGAUAUGCAAUUUUGGUGUUCCAUGG
rnacentral:lncRNA from 1 species